rnacentral:lncRNA from 1 species
UUUUUUUUUUUUUCUUAUGAGCAAUUGAGCAUUAAGUUUGCGCAUUAUGGUAUGAUUCUCUUAGACAUUGAUGUUUUCUUUCUCUCUCCUGCAGGAAAUAGUUUCCAUUUACCCUGUUUUAUCACCGCCAAACCUAACUCCAGCACAAUCGAACAGAGUUUGCAAUGCGCUUGCACUACUUCAGGUCUGAUUUAUAGGCUAUGCAGCUGUUAUGCUGUAGAUUAUAUCUUUUUGGUCUUAUAAGAAGGCAGUGUGUGAUUGCUUUGGUGUACUUUCUUGUGUCUUUACUUGGAUUUGUUUCUUAGGGCUCCACUGAUUAAAAAUGGAGUUUGAAUGAGGUUUUUGGAAGAAAAAAAUAGGCGUUGGAUGGAUCGUCAUGAUUGCAUUAGGUUGGGGAUGGGUAGGAUCUGGUAAUACUAGAUUUAUGAAACCCUAGAACUUUUAUAUUUGAUGUUUCGUGGGUGUUAUCCAUCUAUUUAAAAAAAAAAAAAAAAAUCUAGUUAUUCCCAUAAUUGUAUCACUCUCACCAUUGAAUGAAUUUCAGUUGUCAUUUUUUGUUAUAUUUAACUUUUACUCUCUAAUGCCAAUCAUAUCCUUCUCAACAUUGUACCCCAGCAUUGUGUCUUAAAAUUUUCAGCAAUUUCCCAUCUUGACAAUUGGAGAGUCUCAUGCCUUCUUUGUUUUGAAAUUAUACGAAAACCUAUAAAUAUUGGCGGCCACAUGAACUUUUGACGAUGUGAUAUGUUAGAAGCCUCGAGUAGUUGUCUAACAUCAUCUAUAUGGCGAAGAGGUGGGAAUGCAUUGAGAUUCACAAAAUAAGAUUUUAUAAUUAGCUUAUACAAUUGCAGAAGAUGCUUUUAAAAAAAAAAAAAAAAAUCUAAAUUUUAGUUCUCGGGAGGUGUAGUUGGUGGCAAUUCUACUUGUAGCUCCUUAGGUCUUGAUGCUUGCAUCUAGUUCAGAGUUCUAGAUUCAAAGGAGUUCUACAAUUUUUAUGAAUAUUCCUAGUGAGGCAAAUAACUUUAUUGAUGCAUAUGCACUAUUUCGCUAACAAAUUCUAGAUAAGCGAGACAAAACUCUUCAAGUAUGAAGCAUGGAUAUGGAUUUGGUAUGCAAAUGCACGCAUAGGAUGUGUGCAAAAAAAGGAGGCUACAUGUUGGGAUGUGUUGAUUAAGAAAACUGUAUAUCUUGAUAUUGCACUUGGUAGAAUUUCGAAACUAACCAUAGUUGAACAAAUGGUAAAAUUCUAAAUUAUAUUAUCGCAGAAAAAGGAAUAGAUGCUACAAUUCAAUGUCUUCUGAAAAUUUAACAUAUAGUAGUGCUAGUUCGUGUUUGCUUUGAUCUUUAUCUAUGAAAUAGAAAUCGUUUCUAAGAAAAUUGCAAAUCUUGUUCUAGUCGGUAAGUCUCAUGAUGCCCCUGCAAGCAUUGCCAUGGGAUCAAAUUUCCAAAUUUUACGCGUAAUUCAAAGGGUUGCGACGAAAACAAUCUUCAAGUAUUGUUCCUUGUCCUAAAGGUCUUUGAUUUGACUUGCAUCUAUUUAUCUUCUCUUUAGCCUCUUAUGCAUGUUUGUUUCUUAGAGCCUUGGAUUUGAACUCUUCUGCUCACAUUAUCUUCUAAUGCUAUGGCCAAUCUCUCUUUGGUUGCAAGGGGUAAUGGUUGACAUUCUUGACGUCUUGUUUGGCAAGCAAGAUGUUUAUCUAGGUCUCUUAGUCUCGUAUAAUUGACUCUCAUGGAAAAGGGAAUCUUGCGUUACAGUAGAAGUAGAAGUGACGUGGAUUAUUUAAGAAGCGAAGUCAAUUUUUUUUAUGAAAAGAAGAUCAAUAAGUGGGGUUGUGACAAUUGUCCUACAAAAGACUGAAGGUUUAGAUGUUAGAUUGGAUUAUAGCGAGUCUUCCUAGCUGGUAUAAGCUACAAUUGCAUUAAUUAGAGCUACUUUAAGGGACUAUGAGUGGCGUGUUUUGGGGAAAAAUGCCAUUCAUGGUAGCAAAGCAAGCAAAGUAGGAAGAACUUAUUAGGAAAGAUUGAAGACCGAGCGACAAGUGUUGGAUCAGGGUGGGAGUUGAUGUAGCUAGUGUACACUAGGUGCAACUGCUUUAGCAAGAGCUACUUUUAAGGAAGGGAAUAUGAAUGGCUUGUUUGUAAGGCAAAUGACAUAUAGCAAAGCAAAAAAAGGAGGAAGAUCUCAUUAGGAAAGAUUGAAGGUUGGACGACAAUAGCUCAAUUACUUAGGAAAGAAGGGAUUUUUAACUGUAGUUGUAAUGCUGGACUAGGUCUGCCGGUUUGUCCACGAAAUUGGUGGAUUGAAUCAUGGCCCUGUUUGGUUGGGAUGACUAUUGAACCACUUGUGGUGAGGAUGACUAUUGAACCACUUGUGAUUUGUAAGAAUGGGUUGAUAUUUAUAGAACCGGACGGAUCGUAACCCAAUAGAACCUUCGGAGUUUUUUAAAAUUGGCCAGUCAUUUUGAUAAUUUAUCAAAAUAAAGAGGUCAUGUUUUGAACCUAGGAUAUAAAGGUUAUUGGUGAACUUGGUACUAGCAGCUUGCCUUUUUUUGAUUGAUUAUAAAUCUAAUUAAAAUGAUAAAUAUAUGUUAUAAAUCUAAUUAAAAUGAUAAAUAUAUAUUAUUUAUUAUAUUUCCUGGAAGUAUUUUAAAUUUUUUAUUUGUUUUAAUAAAAAAGUAAUUAAGAAAAUAUUAAACACUUAUGUGCAUUUGAGAUUUAGGCCCUAUUUGGUACCCAUUUUUUUCAAAAUGUAUUUUUUUCUCUCCUCUUUUUAACCACACAAUCUUUAUUAAAAUAAUAUUACACAUAAAUCAAAUUUUUAUUUUUUAUUUUUCAAUCAUACAUUUCCCAUCAAUUUACUAUUCUAAAAUGUAUUUUUACAUAAAAAUGGCUUUCAAACAUCCUCUUUUAAUAGGUCAAUUGCUAAGCCCAUGCUUGGUCCAGCUUAAAAUUUUGAAAAAAGUCUAAGUUAAAGCCUACAAUUAAUUUUAACCAUACAUUUCUAGAGAUCCGCAACUUUUGAACCACGAGUUUCAUCAAAUUUUAUCAAAAUUUACCAAAAAUAUGAUUUUUAGCUAUACCAAACAGGGGAUGAAUGAAGUUUUAAACUUGAAUACACAUUAACUUGUAAACGUAGUUUAUAUCAAUCUUAUGUUUUAAUAAAAAAAUUAUCAUAUUUUAAUUUUUUAUGUGACAAUGACCCGCAAAUUGAAUGAUCAACCCAUUGACCUAGUGCUUUUGUAAUGGCUAGGUUUGGCAUUUAUCCUUUUAACUUUUAAGAGGCAAUCUAAUCUCACAUGCAAGAAAUCAGUCCUUAGAAAUUAAAACAAUACAAAUGAAGUUCUUGUUUUUGUAAUGUCAAGCCAUUAUGAGUAUAUUUCAAAAUUCCCUAAACAUAGUAGCAUUAACCCUCAGAGCGCUAACUCAAAGUUGAAUAGCUGAAGGUGGAUUCAAGAGUUGUUAGAAUAAGGUAGGUGAAAGGUGAUUGUGGCUUCGAACAAUGCGUCGAGAAGUUUUAUAUUGUGUGUCCAUAGAAUCCAUCGCCUUUUCAUUGAAGAUAGUUUUCUUUUUCAUAAUUGCCUUCUUUUUUAAGAGAAAUUUUUUUUCAUUGCCGUUUUUCAUUUUUUUGCGGAUUCCUCGAGUUCAAGAAUAGUGUUGAAAAUUCAUUUUCCACACAAAUCAAGUUCACGUAUGCUACUUGUAUACCUUUGUUCCUCGGUCUCUAGUUCUAUGCAGAGAGGAUGUAUAUGGAUUUGUUGCUCCAUCUGUAGUUACGCGUAGAGAGGAUGGGUAUGAUCCACGUGGGAUAUAGGAGCUAUCUAAGUUGCACGGCACGGACAUGACACCUACACGUUGAUGUGAUUUUUUAAAAAAAUAGGAAAUGAACAUGUCGGAAUCUGAUAUUUUAAAUUCAUAUUUUAUAUUUAUAUUUAUUUUUGUAAUUUUAAAAUAGUACACGACACAUAGAAUUUUAGUUGUAUGAGGUGUCUUUAGAGUAUCCCUAAAGUAUAACAUAAAACGGAAUAUAUAUUAAAUGGGACAAUGCCAAGUGGCUAUUUGGAUACAUGUCUUUGAGUGUUGUUCGAGAAGUGAUGGGUCCGACACGACACAUGUUUGAUAUGUGACACAUGUUUGAACUUCACAACCGUAAGGGAAAUUGAUUCAAUAAAUGACUGAAAAGCUCCUUUAGAUUUGAUAAUUUUCAAUUUGCUUCUGGGAAAACGAAAAUGAUCUCUCACUAGUUCACAUGUUGAGUGGAAGGUAAGCAAUGAUUCUCAACAUGGAAAUUGAGAUAUAAAAGUAAACAAUGGGCCAACAUGGGAAUUGCAUUUUCGUGGUGUUAGAAGAAUUAAGGACAUCGUUUCCAAAAACGAAUUCAUAAAAGUUGGGAAGAGGACACGAUUACAGGCCAUUUUUGGAGGGAACUUAAUAAAUGAUGGUUACAGCUCUAUGUCCAGAUAAGUUUUCCUUUCGGCAGUGCAUAAAGUUGCAGUUCUCUCUCUUCAGACGUAGAAAAAUCUCCAAUUAUCAAUUAUUAUUUAUAAUGGAGUGAGUACAAUAUUUGAUAAGAUUUUGACGUGAUUGCUGAUGUAAUGGCUAACCGCAUGAUUUGUGUUUGCUUUUCAAUUUGUGCAUAUACUAAUUGUGGUGCUUCCUCUACUCAAAACCCAGAACCCAGGAGAUUUGAUAAUUGAUAGGUGAAAAAAUAAACUUCCUCGGAGAGAAUGAAAUAGGAUAAACCAUGAUGUAAAAUUACUUGCUUUGUUUGAAUUGACAUGGUUUUAUAUUAUGUAUUUUGCAGUGUGUGGCCUCUCACCCAGACACAAGAAUGCCGUUUCUUAAUGGUAUGAUUUUGUUGUUUGAUAUUCAAAUCUUUCAUGUUUAGAUAUUGAAACUUUUAAGUAAAUGCAACUUUUCUUAAGCUAGCACAUAGUUAUUUCCGUGGGGAUUAGUCAGAGUUGAACGUGUAUUGCACAUAAUUUUGAAAUAUUAUAUAUAAGUAUUGUAAAAGUAAUAUUUGAUAUGAUAGGCCUUAAUUUCGAUCUGCUGUGGCAUAAACAGAAUAUGGAAGAAAACCAAAUUUAUGGUAGAAAUUUAAGAAAAGAAAGUUAUACUCUUAAAACUCAACUUCUGUGAUUUAAAUUUUUUGUGAUGAUGAAAUAUUACAAAUGAGCAACAUUUUUAUACUAUAUUUGGUAUAUAAGAAUUAAUUGCUAAUACAUGAAUUUAAACUCCCACCAAAAUUUCUAGAUACAUGAAUAGAAAUAAAUUUAAAUUCAUCCAUAAUAGCUCUAAAUUCAUGCAGAUCAAGAUUUGAGUCUAGAUUAAUGUGAAUGCUAAUUAAUUGAAAAUUAACAACAUGAAAUUCAUACAUGACCAAUGAUUUUGUAGUGUUUAUUAUAUAGUGAAAAAUGAAACGUAAAGUAUUAUUGAAAUAAUUGAAUUGUAGUAGGGUUAGAAUCAUCCAAAAAAUGAUUCCCGCUUUUAUUUAAUAGAUUAUAGAUAUAGAUUAUGAGAUAUAUUGGAUUUUUUCAUUAAUUGUACAGCUAACUGUGACUAAAGUUCUCUCUUUUAUGUUAAGCCUUCAAUGCUUAUUCAUUGCCAUCUGUUAAAUGCUAAAUUAGUUUUCUGGCUGACCUCUUUUCUGAUGUAGCCCACAUACCAUUGUAUCUGUACCCUUUUCUCAACACAACCAGCAAAUCAAGGCCCUUUGAGUACUUGAGACUUACAAGUUUAGGUGUCAUUGGUGCUCUGGUUAAGGUAUUUUCUAUUUUUAAAGACUUUUUUAAAUGUUAUUUUCUUGAGGUGCACGUAUUCUCUUGACAGAAAAAUGGUAUCUUAAUUAUUGCCAUUUUAUGAACAAGGUAAUUUUGGGCAAUUUGCAAAAUAUAGAUGCCUGUAGAAAUGGAAUAGACUUGCAAAUUGGCUUGACAAAAGAGAUUGCCCCUUCACGUUCUGCUCUACUUUUCUCACGCANNNNNNNNNNNNNNNNNNNNNNNNNNNNNNNNNNNNNNNNNNNNNNNNNNNNNNNNNNNNNNNNNNNNNNNNNNNNCUUCCCUCCCAUUUUUUGUGUGUUGCCCAUAUAUUCUUGACAGGUCUUUUAUUAAAAUAUAUAAAAUCUCCUUUCUACAAUUACAGCUUUGGUUUAAUUUAUUUUUAUGUCAUGGACUUACUAUUUGGAAUGGUGGAUGACUUGAGAUAACAAACAAACAAAGCCUUACAAUCAAUGAAGUUGGAGUUGGCUACGUGAAUCCUUUGUGCAGCUUUGUUUAGAUUGCUUAUUCAUGGAAUAUUCAAAACAAUUAGAUUCUUAGUGAUUAUAGUGGACCAUGUUAGUUUUGUUCUAUCCCUUCUAACACGUUUUUGUGUGAUUACGUCUCUUAUGAAAGAGUUUCUUUGAGCCUAUGCCAAAUUUGGAUUCGUUGAAAUAUUGAAAUGAAUAUGAUUUUAUGCCGACUUCGAUAACAAUUACUGUGAUUCUAUUCCAGCACUGCCGUUUAUUUUCCUUUCUGAUGAGAAAUAACAAUUUCUAUCAUUUUCUUUUCUUUGCUCUCCAGGUUGAUGACACUGAAGUUAUCAGUUUCCUUCUUUCUACUGAAAUUAUUCCGCUGUGCCUGCGCACCAUGGAGAUGGGUAGUGAACUGUCAAAAACAGUUGAGUGCCUUGUGAACAUUUCUUCUGAUUCAUCUCCGUUCUUUCUAGUUAGUUUCUCUAGGAAUAUACCAAUGAUUACCAGGUCUUUGUUAAGUUGCAAUCUAGAUAUGGAUGGUUUUAGAUAGCCAAUAAAGGUUUUUUCUUUUUGUAUUCAUGUGAUUUAAACACGUAAGUAGUUAGAUUUAUUUUGAGUCUUGAUUUCUGACUCCUAUGCUAUCUCACACACCCGUCUGUCAAAGCACCAGCAGCAACUGGUAAAUUAUGAUCCUCACAGGAAGUUAUUAAUGAAAUGAGUUAGUAGUAUGAUUUUCUAGUUAGGGCAACUAAAUCUCUGGCAUCACAAGAGUAUUGGAAUCUCCAGGAUGGAGGAAAUCCGUGAAGGUGUGGUUUUACUUCUAUGCCAAAUGAUUGUCCUUGCCCUGCAUCUGUCCACCGUUCAUUGUCCAAAAUAGCUGUAUUGCUUUUGGGUUUGAAGUGAAAUGUGAUUAUCUGAAAUUAUUCAGCAUUCCUAUUUUUUGCAUUUGAUUUUAACUAGGUGGUGGUGUAUACAAAUGUUAAUCUGGAAUCGCAUUCAAGAGCUUCAGAUUGGUUCACAAGCCCACUUGCUAUAUAAAUUUUUUCUGCCUGUAACCUUAUGUUCCUUGGGCUGCAGUGUAUUCUAUCUGCAGUCAUCUUUACUGUCUCUCAAGCUAUUAGUAGAAUCCUGCUUCCUAUUUUUGUCUCUUUAGAUUGGUACCCUGGGAUUGGGAUCACAUAAUUGAACAAGACUAUUUAUGAGUUUUACAAUUUGACAUCAAGCAUUCCUUAGCUAUUGGUUGCUGGACAUUAUACAACUAUGACAGAAAGGCUUCUAUUUUCAGGUUGCUACAUUUAUUGUGCAAAAGAUUUUGCUUGAUGAUGUUGGCUUAGAUUACGUAUGUACCACAGCAGAGCGGUUCUUUGCUGUAGGUCGAGUACUGGGAAAUAUGGUUGCUGCUCUUGCUGAGCAGCCUUCAGUUAGGCUGUUAAAACACAUUAUCAGGUGCUACCUUCGAUUGUCUGAUAAUGCGAGGUGGGAAUUAUCUUCUUGAUUCACCUCCUUUCAUUUUGUUCAUUUUUCAAAAAACGUUUAUUUGCUGAAAUCGUAUACAGAGCUUGUGAUGCACUGAGAAGUUGUCUGCCAGAUAUUCUUAGAGAUGCAACAUUUAGCAGUUGCCUUCGUGUGAGUACUCUUCACCGAGAUUGCCUACUGUCAGAAUUUUCCUCUCUCAAGCGGGGGAAAGGGUGAUGAUAUUUACUGUUUGAUUCGGUGAAUGUUCUUUCAAUAACUAUAUAUUUUCAGGAAGAUCCAACCACUAGAAGGUGGCUGCAGCAGUUGCUUCACAAUGUGCAAGUGCCUCGGGUUGCUGGUAUGCAAGCAGGGGGAGGAUUCGAUCACUUGCUUGUGAGCUGAGUCGAAAUUCAUCGUCAUCUGUAUAGUCUACAUUGUUGCAUUCCCUGUGCGACAGUGUUAAUAGAAUGUGCUCUAGGACAUGUCUGUUAUAAAACCUCAAAACUAGUCUUAUAUCUGAACAAUUGGGUGUCAUUUUUCAUCCUGCUAGAGUUGUAUAUUGACCCAAAGAGAGGAGAUUGGUAGAUUCCAUUAGCAAAAGAUUUUGAGUGCCUUUAAACUAGUUACUUGCGUAGUGAAAAGAUGGAACAUUUGACUUUUUGAAAUUUCUUUUGGAUUAUUCAUGGGUUCUUACGCAUCAAGAUAAAUGAGGAUGAUGAAAAAUGGAUUGGAUGAAAUACAGGUUGCUUACCUACUUAGGAUGCGAAUCAACCAUGUUAGGAACAGACUGCGACAUUGUUAGGAUUUAACCGGCUUUGAUCAAUGGAGUUGGGCUGGACAAAAAGGACAUUUAUGGUUGUGGAAAUUACACAAAACCAUAUUUUAACUAUUCAACCUUCUAAAAUCACUCUAAGUUUAAUAUUUCAAUAUAAUAAGAAAUUUUAUUUUAAUCAAUAUUUUUAUAAUUAAAAUAAAUAUUUUACUAAUAUACUCCAUUAUACAAACUCUAAUUAUCUUUAUCAACAUUUCUUCAUUCUCUCUCUACCCCCAAGACGAUGUCGUUGAAGACUCCACCAUUGCCUGUUCUUCAUUCUCUCUCUCCAUCCCCCAAGACGUCACCAUCGAAAACGACUCGGAUCGGAUUAGCAACCAGCAAGAUCUGAGCCACGCCACUUAGUUCACGUGACGCUGUCGCUUCUUCGAUGACUUCAAUCCACCGAUGGUGCACUGUGAUGGUGGUGGCGCUCGCGCGUUUGUAUUAUGUGUUUGGGUUAUGUUGAUUGUGGUUAUGGUGGGGGUGAUGGUUCAGGCAAUUGUGAGGGCGGUGGUGCUAGUAGUGGUCACAAGAGGUGGUUUUUGUGUUAGUUUAUGGUUGUGGCGGGGGUGAUGGUUUUAGGCAGCGGUGGGUGGUGGACCGGUGGUGAUACCGUCCUCAAUGGUGAUGAAGUUUUUGAUUUUUUGAUUUUUUUUAUUUUUUCAUCUGAUCUGUUUAGAUUAGUUUUCUUGUGGUGGUUGGUGUUUUUCGAAAUAGUGGUGGUGGUUGAGUAGAUGGCGGUGUUGAUGCAAUUGGUGGUUGUGAUGGUUACGGUGGUGAAGGAGAUGGGGUUGGAGGCGAAGGUGCAGCGUCGUGGUAGUAUUUUGGUAGUGGUGGUGCGGCGGCGACGGUGGUAACGGUGGCAACGACGGUGGUGUGGUACUUGCGAGUUGCGAUUGUGGUGGUGGUGUAGUAAUAAAGUGUUUGUGACGUAUUAUUUGGGAGUUCGUGACCAACUAUCGGGAGUUAGUAAUGGUGGUGGUGGUUUUGGCGACGAUGGUAGUGAUGAGAUGUGGUCACAAGUGUUGGUGGUAGUUAAAAAUUAUUUGAUUGAAUGUGACCAUUAAAUUAGUUAAUCUGUGACCAAUUAAAAAUAUAAAUUGUGAUAAAAAAAUAACGUGUGACAUAAGAAAUUGUUAAUAUGUUACAGAUAAUUUGUUAUUGCAUAAUAAGAUGUGACUUAAAAAAUCUGUGAUUUGUGAUCAAUAAAUAAAUCGUGACUUAUAAUUUUUUUGAUUUGUGAUCGAUGAACAAACUGUGAUCUAUAAAAUUUUCGAAUUGUGAUCGUAAAAUAAUUUGUGACAUAAAAUUUUUGAUUUGUGACCAAAAAAAUAAUAACUAAAUAACUAAAUCAUUAAUUGUGAUCAAAUUGUAUUGAUCUGUGACCUAAAUAUGUUUGAUCAAUAAAAUAAUUAACUAAAUCAUAAAUAAAAUUUAAUAAAAAACUGAUUUUUGAAGUUUGAAACUUGUUUUCUUAAUUUUGAAAUGUAUGAUACGUAAACUCUUACUUAUGAAAUUUUCUUUUUAUAGUUCCAUAUAACUAUUUAACUAAUUUCUAAUAUUAUUGUCUAUUUGCGAUUUAAAUGGAAAAAAAUAUAACAAUAGAUAAAAUUAAAAAUAAUUGGAUUUGGGGAAUUGAGGGAAUAUGUUCUUCAUUCCUGCACCCAGGCUGUGGUGUGUGAUUUGUGUUUGUGGCCUUUUUCCUAAAAAAUUGACGUUUUAUGCGGAAGAUCGAUUGUGGGUUUGCUUGACAUGAUUUGGGGAAUUAAGAAUUGGGUAAAAUUCACAAUUAAGAUAUUUAGUAUGGACAAAAUUUUCAUGUCUAAAGUUUUGAAAAUGCAAAAAUCAGGUUUUCAUUUAUUAAAUAAAUAGAUUUUAUUAAUUGAAAAUAAUAAGGUCACAUAUAUACCAUUAAUGGUCACAUGUUCAUAAUUAUAGGUCACAAAGUUGUUUAUUGAUCACGUAUUAUCAAAUUAACUAGUCACUGAUUAUUUCGAGGACACGAAUGAAAAUUUUUAUAGGUCACAAUUUAUUAAUCAAUCACAUAAUUUUGAAUUUGUUGGUCACAAUUAUUAAACUUUAAGGUCACAAUUAAAUAAUUGGUCACACGUAAUGAAAUAGUUGGUCACAGGUAAUCAAACAACAGGUCAAAUAAUUGGUCACAUUGCAUACCAUCACCACCCUCACCCCACCGCUGCUGACACUACCACCACUGUCAGUUCCACUAUCAACAAUAACCACCCAAUUUUCGGACAGAACCAAAACACCACCACCACCACUCCCUCAACCAAAAAACACCACCAUUCCUACUUGCACCACCACCAUGUCCACUACCCCAACACUGCACCACCACCACUCUAUUACCACCACCAUGAUAGCAUCAACACUGCCAGAGGUACCACACACAUUACCACCAACACCACCACCAACACCAUCAACACCUCACCUGCGACUGUUACUGUUCAAUAUUCGGCAACAGAUUGCAACCGAUCAUGAUUCUCGCAACAAAUCGCCGCUCAACGUUAUGCAAAAACUGGUCGCCAUAUUUGAUCUGAAAAGCGGGGGCAGUGAUUCUUCUCCGUUCGUGAGAGGAGUGUCGCUGCACCAUCAAAACUGAGGAGGUUUCUUCCCAGGCUCGCCUCCGUUGUUAUCGCCGUCGUCAAUCAUCACCGACGAUUGCGACGGUGGUGUUUCAAGAUAGAGAGAAGCAAGAGUAUGAAGACGGUAGAGAGAGAGAAAACAUAAUGUAAAAUUAGGGUUGGGGAAAUUGAAUUGAGAGAAAUUAGUAUUUAAAUUAUUAAAUCAAACCUGAUUUUUGCAUAAUGAAACUUAAGCCAUGAUUUUUGAAUUGUGGUGUUUAAACCCCUGGAUUUGUGUAAUUUCCACUUAAGAAUUUGCUUUUAAGCCCAUUUGGAUAGCAUUUUGGAAGUUUUUCUUUCAAUUAAAAUAGCUUUUAAAAGAAGUUAGUACAAUAUUAAGAAACUUGUUGAACUAGUUAGGCUGGAAUUUCACUUCGGGCUUUUCAUUCUAUUUUAUGAGGAAAUUUUUAUUGGUUGUAGUGCGGGAGAAGCCAGUCGCGAUGACUCCAUCACUAUAUUUUUCUCUAUUUAAUGUGUAUUUGUUAAUAUUGCGCCGAUAGUUAUUACACUGGAAACGUGAUCCAGAUUAGAUUUGUGAAUUUGAGUUACAGUUAUUGAAAUAGGAUUUUAUUCAAUAAGCCUCCGUUCUGGAAAACUCUAAAUAUCAAUUUAAAAAUGGUCUCUCACAUUUUUUUUUUUCACUAUACAUUUAGGCCCUAUUUGAGCUAUAUUUUUUCAAAAAUGUGUUUUUUUAGAACUUACUUUCAAUCAUACGUUCUCCCAUAAAAUAAUGUUAUACAUAAACUCAAAUAUUUUUUCUUUUUAAUUACAUUCUCCAAAUAAUUAUUAUCUCAAAAUGCAUUUUCUUUCAAAAUCUGGAACCCAUACAGGGGCUUAGUAAUAUUAAGCUAUUCACUGUUUAUUUUUACCUAUUUACAAAUCAAGCCUUUGUUAGGAAAUACUCGAAAUUUGUUGAUUCAAAAAGUUUUAUAAUUCUUCAUGAUCUACUUGGGACAAUCAAAAGCAAUAGUCAUGCGUCGAAUUACUAACAACUUACGUGGACAUCAUCUAAAUAAUCAAAAUAUUCUUUACAUAGAUGAUUAUUUAGCUGUCACUUGUUCAAAAGGCAAGUUAGUUGUAAGAUCUUACCCUAUGAAGAUUAAUAUUAAAUCUUCGACUUUAUUGAAACGAAUUAGUGUAGAUAUAUUUAGGUUCAUACACCCUCAUUGUGGACCAUGUUCAUUUGCUUCAUUAGAUUAUUUGCUCAAAUCAUAAAUUUAUGUACUCAAUUUUUCGAUUAUUCAAUCAAGACAUAGAUUUGAUAAUGCUAAUGAAUUUAGAUCUCAAGUAUUCUACGAGUAUUAAUUGAAAUUCUGAUUGAACAUUCGAUUUGAUUGGUUCGUAUACGAUCAAUUGCUUAUCAAUAAUACUUGUUUUUACACUUGCAUUUGGUUAAUAAUCUAAUAAUUUUCACCUGAGUUUUCGGCUAUGCAGUCCAAGUUCCAAUUUCAUCCCUACAAUGGACCAAAUUUUUGCACCAAAGAAGAUUUGAAAUUUAGAUACCUUCAACAUUUAACAUGUGAUUUAUUUACUAUUUUUCCAACUUUGGAAGGGACGAAACUAGAUCAUGAAGAACAAUGGUUUUUUUUUUCUUUUUUCUUUUUGGGAAUAAAAUAACUCUAUAUUAUUUAGAUCCUUUAAACAAUCAAUGUGAGUAAGAUGUUGAAAAAAUGAUUCACUUGCAAAGAGUAGCAAAUCAAUUGCUUGAUGUUAUUUGUUGAUAGAAGAAAAGUGAUAAAAUCAUAAUACAUUAACAUAAAACACUCUAGCAAAAAUUGAUAUUUGUGCCUGACAAUCUAGGAAAUGAAUAUCAAAUAUGUUAGAAGUGUCGUAGCCAAUUGGUAAAAAAGACUAUACCUCGAAAAGAACCGUAUAAGAGAAAAACCAAUUCAAAACUUUAAAUAAAACAAUGGUUGAAAAGAUUGAUCUAUUAAACUAAUAAUGUGAUUGCUGCAUAACUAUAAAUAUUCGAAAAUAAAGAGAUUUUAGUAAAUUAUUUGUUAUCUCAUAAUUAUGGGAAAGAAACAAUAUUAUCUUGGACAAUAUUGUGAACCACAGAUCUUUAAAGGUUGUUAACAUAGAAAUGAUUCGUCAAAAUGAAAAGAAGUUAAGACAAGCAGAGUCAAGUUUGAGCAACAUGUAUGCAUGUAAAGGAAUCAUUUGAGCAACAUGCAAAGAGUAUGAUCCCAAGUUUGAGCAACAUGUAUGCAUGUAAAGGAAUCAUUUGAGCAACAUGCAAAGAGUUUGAUCCUGUUGGGAAUCAACUUAUAUAUGCAUAGCUGAAAAUUAAAAUUAUUUCGAUUCCCAUUGAGGAUCCCUUUGUGUUUAGAUAGAAAUCGUGAUAAAGAUUGUACCUUUGACGAAUUCUGCAAACCUUUUGCUUUUUUUUUUUUGUUGUUCCAGCAAAUUUGAUUCGCCACCCACAGCUGUUCAAUUGUCCAGCCUCCAACGGUGAUCCACACAAAGAAUAAGAUUGCAGCUACCAGGGUUUUCUCCUCUUGUGGCAGCAAGAAUAAUGAAAAUCAUAUGGACCUCAAACUUUAGCCAUGUAUUUAUAUAAACCCAAACUGGCUCGGCCCGGUCAGGUCCAAUAUUUAAUUAAUCCAUUUAAUUAAACCCGGUCCGUGAAUUAAUUAAUCCAAUUAAUUAAUUUGGAAUAUAAAUAACAAAUCCAAUUAAUUAAUUUAUCCAACGAUUGUUAAAUUAACCAAUUGGUAAUUUGCAAUCUUCCAAUUCUCUUUUGUGUGCGACCCAUUAGGUUCCCGACCACGAUGCCUAACCACGUGAAAUAUUAUUUUGAUCUAAUCAAAAUUGAUAAAUUAAAACACCAUUUUAAUUUAUCGUCAAUUCAUAUUCGCCAUCCCUGAUUGACAUCUAACAAUGAGUUAGGGCAAUACAUGUGACGGGAAAUGUCAUGUGGUGUGACAAAACCAAACUCUUUUGUUUAUCGUGAAACUAUAAUCCCUUCGUCAAUAUGAUCCGAUCAAUUACGAGAUAUGGAAGUGUGCCAAUCUCGAUCAUCGAUCAUAUCUUUCACUCCACUAUUAAGUCAAUAUAAGUCGAAAACUCCUUUUCGACUUAUGAGUACACCUUGGCCAAGGAUUUCAUCAUCGACUUAAUUGAAUGAAACGCAGAUCAUAAUCUCCUACUAUCUAAGAGUGACGAAUCCUUUAUUGAUCAAUCACAAUCUUCAUACGAUUCUUGACGUACCCGAACGAUAUCGUAUUAGCGGCCCUUUUCAGAGCAACAUCCAACACCGCCAAAGUAUGACUAUCCUCAUAUAUGAUACCAUGACAACCUCAAGUCAAAGGACCAAUUCCACUACCGAACGUUAGAGAUUAACCACUGACACUCAGAUAGUUAUUCAUGUGGAAUCUCUCGGUGGGUCUCCAAUGUUUUGUUCUAUAAUAAAACAUCCACGUGUUCAUUUAAGUGUCACCACACUUCAACUUGUGAGAUCAGUUACUCGUUUCACAAGUAAGAAAUGCUACACAUGAUGGUCUAUCUGUAAUAACGAUAUCUGUAUCUCGUUAUUACUUACGACCAUGAACGAUUUAAGAUUCAAUCAGAUAUAAUUUGUAUCUCACAAUCACAACUCCUUGUGAUUAACAAAUUACGAAAAUUUGAAUCUACGGACUGCAUUAUAUAUUUAAUUGUCUAUUAAUUAAAUAAUAGAUCUACCAUUUAAAUUGCAUUAAUUAUUUAUCAAAAGUAUUUAUAUCCAAAGUCGAUUAGAUCUAGGGUAUAAUACUUACAAACACCCACUUGCACUAGAUCCAAUCACUUAUGUAUCCAAUAUCAUAAGUCUACACGACGAUCAUAUUUAUGCUACGACAACUCUUUGUCAGUGGAUCUGCAAUAUUGUUAAAUGUGGAAAUUUGUUCUUCUCUUUACGUCAUUUUUAUGUAUUAUCUCUCUGAUGAGAUUAUACCACCUUAAUACAUGUUUGCAUCAUUGAUGAGACCUUAGUUCUUUCACUUUCGCAAUGGCUUUAUUGUUAUCAAAAUACAAUGGCAUGUGAUCAACAAUAUCAGGAACUACUCCAAGUUCAUUUAUGAACAUCAUGAUCCAGAUUGCAACUCUUUGCUACUUCUAAAGUAAUCAUGUAUUAGGUUUCUAUUAUUGAAUUAACGGUUGCUUUACGUUUGGAACCUUCCCAACACACCAUUUAAGAGUAAACCAAUUUUUUUCAUAUAAAAUCUUCUCAAGAUUUCAUCUAUGUAAAUUGGGAUGAGUUAAGCAAUCUUUUAGAUCUACCUCUAUAGAUCAAGUUGCUUCUCCCAUAUCAUAUAUGAAUAAAUCCUUUAACAACCAUUAUUUUAACGAUUAAAAUAUAGGGAUGUCGUUUUCUAUAAUAUUAGGAAUACGACAAUACUUCCAUUAUCUUCUUGUAAACACACAAUUCGUUUUCAAAUUUGAUAAAAUCAAACACUUUGACUUUUUAUCAAAUCUAAGAUUUCAGCUCCAAGAGACUUCUCUUAACCUAUAGCCACGGUAUGCAACUAUUGCAAACAAAACCCGAAUGGACUUAAGUAAGACUACAAGAGAAAGGUUUCAUCAAGGUCAACACUUAACCUUUGCUUCUAGCCUUGCUUUGUAUAUAUGAAUAUUCACAUCCAUAUCGAUCUUUUCUUUUGUAAACUAUUUACAAAAGUUUAUGGGCUUUAUUCCAUCAGGAGGCUUGACCAAGGUUCAAACAUUGUUCACAUACGUCGAGUUCAUCUCGAGUUUUAUGACUUCUUGAUGUCUCUUUUAAGUCAACACUUAACUUUAUUUUUGUUGCAACUAGCAUGUUCAUUAUCCUGGAUCAGUAAUACCUGAUUAGUAAUCAUGGAUUCGCACCUUCUUGAAGGUCGAAUGAUCUUACUAGAUUCACAUAGAGCUGACAUGUCUUCAAUAGUUUUUACUUCUUGAUCAAGAGUAUGUCCCAUAUCAGAUAUGGGAUGAAACUCGGAUUUAUCUCCUUAGUUAACUAUAUCUGUGAACUCUUGAACUCUUUCAAGUUCUAUUUUGCUCCCACUAUCCUCUUCUAGAGUAAACAUUUUCUCUAAAGAGACAAUACGUCGUGAGACGAAGACUUUCUUCAUAAUAAUAGAAUUUAUAUUCAAAUGUCUCCUUUGAAUAUCCCCACAAAUACGUAUUUAUCAAAUUUAGUGUCAAACUUAUCUGAUUCAAGGCGCUUUAAAUAAGCGUCAUGGCCCUAAGCUUUCAUAUAAGAUAAAUUGGGACUAUUGCCUUUCCAUAACUCGUAUGGAGUUCUGUUAACCAAUUUAGAUGGGGCAUGAUUUAGUGUGUUGCACAUUGCAAUCAAUGCAUGACCCCAAAACAAUUUUGGGAGAUUUGCAUGACUUGUUAUUAAUUGCAUUAUUUCUAAUAGUUAACAAUUCCUCCUUUUAGAUACACCACCAUGCUGCAGUGUAUGUGGAGAAGUCCACUGUAAGAGAAUCUCUUUCUCUCUUAGAUAAUCUAAAUAUUAUCUUUAAAAUACUCUCACUUGAUCGAAUUUUAAUGUGAGGGUAUUUUUACCUAUUUGUUUCUCUACUUCUAGUUUGAAUCCCUUAAAUUUUUUAAGAGUUUCAUGUUGGAGUUUUCAUCAAGUAUACAUGAUCAUUGAUGAAAUAAGAGAAACAUUAUUUGACAUUAAUUGACAUGAGUUCAUAUACAUCCCUAUGCAUUAGACCAGUAAUUAUGCUGACCUUUCUUCUUUUCAAGUAAAAGAAAAUUUGGUCAUUGUGUCAGACAUGCAUAAUUUGUACUUGUCAAAAUCAAUUAAUCCCAAUUAUACAUCUCUAUGUAACUUUGGAAUUACUUUUCAUCUAUAUGACAAAGUCCGUCAUGUCAGAUUUAGGUAAUAAUUAGAUUAUCGCAUUUAUGCCUUAUAAUUUCUAUACUCAUUAUAGAAUCCUUAGUAUUAAAGAAUAUAAACGUCGUUUUGUAAUUUAUCACAGCCAUUAGGAUCUUUAUCAAGAUAAACAAGAACAACAAUUGUCCUUAACAUUAAAAUAGUUCAUGUCUUAACAUUAAAAUAGUUCAUGUCUUAACAUUAAAAUAGUUCAUGUUCGAACAUGAAAUUCAUUUUAAUGUUCCAGCUAUGAUGGAUACAAAGCAACAUUUCUCUAAUUCCAUUACUAAGUCAAAAGGCAACGGCAAAAAGUAUGCUCAUACAGGCAAUGCAACAACCUUUGCUCAUCUUCAACGUGUAGGUCAACUUAUCCCUUUCGUAGUGGUUUACUUCUAUUUAGUUUCUCCAUAUUUGUAUAAAUAUGAGAUCUACAUUUGGUAUCAAAUACCUAAGAAACUCGUGAAGUAGACAUAAACCACGCUCUAUUCCUUCCAAUGACCUUUCAUUCUAUAAUGAAAUCAAGGGUCAUUAGAUUUGGUAUUAUCCUUCACUUGGACUGUCUUAACCAUAUUGGGUGCUUUCACAAGGCCCCUUUAGAAUUCCUCUUAAUAUCUUUAGAGGAAUUAAUAGUUUGCCCACUACCAAUUUUGAUAAAGGGCUUAACAGUUCUAAGCAUGUUAAGCAACUUAAUGAGUAUGCAUUCGAGCUUAUUCAUAUCAUAAUUCAUAAUUACGAUGAAUAACUCUAUGACAGAGAUUGCAGAGUUAAGUCAAUACUUAGUUCAUAGUUAAUGAUUGAACUUAGUUGAGACACUUCUCAUGUCAAUCAUCUUCAGUACAUGAGAAUUGACUGAAAACUCUUUUGUCACUUUGCAUCGGUAGACUGAAAACUCUUUUGUCACUUUGCAUCGGUAUAGUUGUUUGAAAGUCUCAUAUCCUUCCACACAUGAUUAUUAUCAUACAACUCUUUGUAAUGAAGAAUUAUGUGUUAACAUCUAUACUCUCAAGUUGUUUUUGUAACUCAGGUGAUAUAGUUGCAGGUAUUACAUACAUUGCAGUACUAUUGUCAUUACUGUGUUCAUUAUAGCAACCACCUCUUCCUUAAUCGAGUCAUCAUCAGAUGUCUCUGGAAAAUGGCUACUAAGGACAACCAAUUUUCUCAUACUUGAGAACAAUUCUCAAAUUGUAGUGCCAAUCAAGAAGAUUUAAUUUGGUUGUUGGCAUCCAAUAUGCCUGUUAAAUACACAUGGUUACUCACGAUUCAAUAAAUAUAAACGACGAAAAGAAAAAGAAUAAUAUAUAAAAUGCAUAAAUUAAUUUAAUAUGGACUUUUAUUAAAUUAAUUAUGCUCCCACUGUUUAAUUCAAAUUUAUGACAUUCUUACACAAAUUUAUGGAGUCCAUACUCGACUCCUAGUGGAUUGAGAUCCCAUCAGUUAUACUAAGACCUUGAGUGUACUCAACAAACCUUAAUAUAACAUUUGGGUAGAUACUAUUAUUAAUUGUAUUUUCAUACAACUCCCAGAUCAUUAAAUUGACAAAUCUUUGUCUUCACACAUCUUAUGCGUUAGCUUAACAUGCCUCUAAAAUUUAUCUCCUUGAGUGUACUCAACAAAAGAUAAAUUUUAGUUAAGUCAAACCUGUCAUUCAAAAAUAUCAAAUAUUUCAUAAUGUCAAACAUAUCCCUAAUGGACCAACCUUGAGUGUACUCAACAAGUUGAGACGAUUUGAGACUCUGAUUUUUCACAUAAUGAUGGAAGGCGAUUAUAAAUGUGACUUAAUAUUUUAUGGAGGGAUUUUGCAUUGAAAGGUCUUAUCGUAACAAUAAUAUAUAUUUUAUUAUACAUCUACCAUGCAAAUAAAUAAUAUAUAUAUAUAUAUAUAUAUAAUAGUGUGGACGAUUAUGGACUUUACUAUCUAGUCUUUUCGAGCCAUAAGGAAGACUAGCUGGUCAAUUCUUAGGGGAUAUUACAUUGAUCAGUAUUAAUGCACCAUCUCCAUGGUCUCCUCCUCUUCUUGUCUCUUUAAUUAGUCUAGUUGGAACUUGUAUCUUAUACUAGUUGGCACGCAAGCCCAUAACAAUAAUAAUAAUAACGGACUCGUAGUUCCAAAAUGAUCAAGAGCUCGUAGGCCCAAAAUAAUAACAAUAAUAACGGGCUCGCAGGCCCACAAAACAACAAGAAUAAAAUUCAACCAUUCAACACAUCCAUAUGAUUGAGUCCAUAAGCAUCCACUAAUAAUAUAUUCAUCACAUAAAUGUAUGUAUAUAUAAUAUGUAAUAUUAUAUCCUAACAUGUUUCAAGUUUCUAGCAAUUAAAGUCGUCUAAACUCUUUUAGACAAAUGGAUCAGAGCAAUUAAAUAAUUAAUUAAUCAUAUUAAUCAAUUAAUUUAAUUAGCGGCAUAUUUAAUUAAAUUCCAAUUUUAAUUAAAUAUCGAAUUAGAGUCAAACUCUAAUUUCAUAAUUAUAGGGUGGAACUAUUUAAUUAAAAUCACAUUUCAAUUAAAUAUCAAAUUAGAGUCCAACUCUAAUUUCAUAACUUAAGGCGAUUGAAUUUGAUUAAAAUUAAAUUUUAAUUAAAUUAACAAAAUUAGAGUCUAACUCUAAUUUCAAGAUCUUAGGGCAAAUUUAUUUAAUCAAAAUCAUAUUUUAAUUAAAUACCAAAUUAGAGUCCAACUCGAAUUGCAAGAAGAAAUAUAGGGCGAGAUAAUUUAAUUAAAAUCAAAUUUUAAUUAAAUGUCAAAUUAGAAUCCAAUUCUAAAUUCAAGAAAUGCUAGGGUAAAUUAUUUAAUUAAAAUCAAAUUUUAAUUAACUAUGAAAUUAGAGUCCAACUCUAAUUCCAAGGAAAAUUUUGGAGUAAGAUAAUUUAACUAAAAUCAAAUUUCGAUUAAAUGUCAGAUUAGAAUCCGAUUCUAAUUUCAAGAAUAUAUUCGGGUGAAUAAUUAAUUAAAAUCAAAUUUUAAUUAAGUAUUGAAUUAGAGUCAAACUCUAAUUUAAAUUGAAUUAAUAUUUUAAUCUAGAACAAUAUCCCUAAAUAAAAUAAAACUCAAUUUGGGGUCAAAGUUUUAAUAUUUAAGUUAAAAUCCAAUUUUAACGAGAAUAUAAAAUGUCGUCAAAUUUUAAAUAAGAUUUUAAUUUGGGUCAAAAUUAAUAAUAUAGGUCAAAACCCUUUGAAAAUAAAUUUUAAAUCCAUUUUAAAAUUCAAAAUCAGAACUCCUUUUGAAAAUAGCAAUCUGACCCCUUGUCAUUAAAAUCAUGGAUAGAUCCUUUCAAUUUUCGAAAUUGCAGAAUCGUCCCUCCUUCUAAAAUUAUAAUUUGACCCUAAACCUAAAUUGCGGGUGGCCCCCUGAAAUGUCAUAAAUUGCAUAUGGAGCCUCCUUCACCAAUUCUCUUUUACUCGAUUUCUGGAAAAAGGAAACCCUAGAAAUCGCCUUCAUUCUUCUUCAAGUUUCGGUCGUCGCCCCUUAAUUAUCGCGGCGGGAAGUCGCUGCUGUUAAAAGCGGUGGCUUCCCACCUCUGCAGCUGCUGCCCGCGUGCUGCUGCUUUCUCUGCUGUAGCGGCGUGCUCGUCGUCGCUGCUGCAGCGGCGUGCUGCAUUGCGUUCACCACCGGCUGCUAACCCUUUCCCUUUUUAUUUUUAUUUUUCGAAUCAGAACCAGAUUUCAAUAUUUUGAAAAAUAAAUUUCUUUAAUUGCUAGAAACUAGAAAAGAAACACAAUAAUCAACUUUUGAUUGUAUGAUGAUGUUUCAACAAACACAAAGUAGGCUCUAAUACCACUGUUGGGAAUCUACUUAUACAUGCACAGCGAAAAAUUAAAAUUAUUUCGAUUCCCACCGAUGAUUCCUUUGUGUUUAGAUAGAAAUCGUGAUAAAAAUUAUACCUUUGACGAAUUCUAUAAACCUUUUGCUUUUCUUUUCGUUCCAACAAUCUUGAUUCGCCACCCACAGCUGUCCAAUUGUCCAGCCUCCAACGGUGAUCCACACAGAGAAUAAGAUUGCAGCUAUCAGGGUUUUCUCCUCUUGUGCCAGCAAGAAUAAUUAAAACCAUAUGGAUCUCAAACCCUAGCCAUGUAUUUAUAUAAACCCAAACGGGCUUGGUCCGGUCCGGUCCGGUCCAAUAUUUAAUUAAUCCAUUUAAUUAAACCCGGUCCGUGAAUUAAUUAAUCCAAUUAAUUAAUUCGAGAAUAUAAAUAACAAAUUCCAUUAAUUAAUUUAUCUAACGAUUGUUAAAUUAACCAAUUGAUAAUUUGCAAUCUUCCAAUUCUCUUUUAUGUACGACCCAUUAGGUUCCCAACCACGAUACCUAAUGACGUGAAAUAUUAUUUUGAUCUAAUCAAAAUUGAUAAAUUAAAACACCCUUUUAAUUUAUCAUCAAUUCACACUCGCCGUCCCUAAUUAACAUCUAGCAAUGUGUUAGGGCAAUACAUGUGAUGAGAAAUGUCAUGUGGUGUGACAAAACCAAACUCGUUCUUUUACCGUGAAACUAUAAUCCCUUCGUCAAUAUGAUCCGAUCAAUUACGAGAUAUGGAAGUGUGUUAAUCUCGAUCAUCGAUCAUAUUUUUCACUCCACUAUUAAGUCAAUAUAAGUCGAAAACUCCUUUUCGACUUAUGAGUACACCUUGGCUAAGAUUUUAUCAUCGACUUAAUUGAAUAAAACGCAGAUCAUAAUCUCCUACUAUCUAAGAGUGACGAGUAAUUUAUUGAUCAAUCACAACCUUCAGACGAUUCUUGACGUACCCAUACGAUGUCGUAUUAGCGGCCCUUUGCAGAGCAACAUCCAACACCCUCAAAGUAUGACUAUCCUCAUAUAAGGUACCAUGACAACCUCAAGUCAAAGGAUCAAUUCCACUAGCGAACGUUAGAGAUUAACUAUUGACACUCAGAUAGUUAUUCAUGUGGAAUCUCUCGACGAGUCUCCAAUGUUUUGUUCUAUAACAAAGUAUUCAUGUGUUCAUUUCAGUGUCACCACACUUCAACUUGUAAAAUCAGCUAUUCGCUUCACAAGUAAGAAAUGUUACACGUGAUGGUCUAUCCAUAAUAACAAUAUCCGUAUCUCGUUAUUACUUACGACCACGGACGAUUUAAGAUUCAAUCAGGUGUAAUUUGUAUCUCACAAUUACAACUCCUUGUAAUUUACAAAUUACGAAGAUUUGAAUCUACGGACUCCAUUAUUUAUUUAAUUGUCUAUUAAUUAAAUAAUAGAUCUGCCAUUUAAAUUGCAUUAAUUAUAUAUCAAAAAUAUUUAUGUCCAAAGUCCAUUGGACCUAGAGCAUAAUACUUACAGAUCCAUUGUCCAUUAUAUUGUUGAGUAUAAUCUAAUAUUGUGUACUCAACAUGCACUAAAUUGUCUGAGAGGAAUAUUCAUGGUAUCGAGGUACAAUCAUUUGAGCAACAUGCAAAAAGUGUAUGAUAGGGGCACUAAAUUAUUGCAGGCAAACAUUGGCAGUAUUGCGCAAAAGUAAAUAAUAAAAUUGAAAAGAAGAUGAACAAUAAGAUUAACACACAAGAAAUUCAGUGGGCUGGUAAUAUGCUUACAUCCAUUGUACAGUGAAAAUAAAUCCACUAAUUUCGAAUAGGGUCAUAAUAUAGUGUUUAAAUUAAGUCCUAAUCAUAAAAUUACCCUUUCAAUACUGUAUCAUACAGUCCAACUUAUCUGCGCCUAACCUAAUGGGCUAGUUAAUGGAGCAAAGGGUCCAGGCAGGUAUGGGUCUGCCCCCUCUGUUCCAUCAACUAGCCCCCAAUAUACAAACAUAUGAGCCACCUAAUCAACGGGUAAGCAUAAGAUACAUGGAGAUGGAUAUGAUUGUAUCUAAUUCUAUGCAUCAAACAAUAAUUUACGAACAAUUUUUAUACAUGUUUUCUUGGUUUUUUUCUCAUUUGAGCAUCGUGAACAAGGUGGAUCUUGUGAAACCAAGUAAAAAUUUCCAAUUAAAUUUAAAAAGUCUUAUCGAAAUUUUUCUUUGUAUAUUUUCCAGAUAGAGGAAUUCGUAACAUCAGUUAACCAAGAGAAAGAGACAGGUGUAUGGAGGAUUGGUGAAGGCACCAAAAAUUCUCGCAGACAUUUUGGAGUCAGUGGCAGCUGCUCUAUAUGUUGACACUGGUUUUAGUAUAAAGAAAAAGUGGAAGUCUGGAAGAUUAGUUUCCUUUUGCAUUUUGCUCUUUCUUAAAUAUACUCAGAACAGAACUGCCUAAUGUUGGUUUGUAUAGCCAAACUACUAAUGUUGGUUUGUAUAGCCAAACUAAGUAGUUACAAAUUUUGUUACUCCUUUAUCAAAAAUAAAAGUUGAAAUGCAUUACGAAAAUUUAAUGAUUUCAAGUUCACUAAGAUGGAAUUUGGGCUUCCCUGAUGGUUGGAAACUGGCCUUGAAGCCAUCGAGGAAAAAAGUGUAACAAGAAGUUUCCAUGAUAAUCAUUACUUUUAUUUACCUCAUCUAAAAGUUUAAGCAUUGAGAUGAGAUGGUUAACUGAGACAAGAUUGAAAUAAAUACAUGUGGCCUCUCUGGAACAACUCAAGCUUUUAGAUGAGAAGGUUAAACGUUACAUUUGUCAUGAAAGUUUAAAUAAGCGUUUGUUACAGAUAUAAGCUUCUAAAUAUUUUUCCAGGAUGGCGACUUUGUUGGCCACUGUGGAAUGUUUUAAGAACAGCUAGUGAAUCCACGACCACUACUCUGUUAGCCAUCUUGGAAUAUUAUCUUGACAACUCGAACUCUAAUCAUUAUUUAAAAGCUGUCACCCCUGUUUCGAAAGUGUUAUUUGAUGCAGUGGUUUGUAAAAUGUUGCACGGUUGAUCCUAAAUUUAAGUGACUUGGAAAUUUUCAUGUACGCAGUAUUUUUCAAUUACAAAGUAAUAUUCAGUGAGUUGGGCUGGCAAGAUUAAUUAUAAAUCUCUCCCACACACGUUCUUUCUGUUACUUCUUUCUUUAGGCCUUGAUUAAACUUCUAGAGCCGAUUGCUAUGCUGGAUAUGGUAAAACAACAACCACAACCCAUAGCAAUGCUCUUUGAGCUGUGCCAAAGGGACUGAAAAGCAUGCUGACAUAAGAUAUCGAGCUAAAUGCAAAGAGAAACAUUGCCAGUGUAUAUGUCAAAGGUGUGGAUUGGUUGUUGGUAGAGAAAGGUACGUUGGACUGAGCCUGAAAAAUCACCGUUUGAAGAUCCUUUUGAGAGAGCUUCCGUAACAAGAGAGUUACUAUCCUCUGCUUCUUCUGAGCAAAAAGAAAAUGCAAAGUUUCAUUCAGCAAGGCUGCUGUUAAUAAGUUGCCGCAUACAAUAAUUUAAGGGGAUCAACAUCUUCGUUGAUGAUCUCAACGGGGAAAAUGACUUUGAAGAAGCAAAACACAAGUUAUAUGUUGUUUGUGGCAAGAAGAAAUGGCCUGAUCCAGAGUACGUGUACUUUUUUUUCCUCGUUACAUGGCAAUUUAGUUUUUGCACAAAUAAUCAAAUGAACCUUUUUUGACCUCUCUGAAAUUUUUUCUGCUCUGUACAUCUCUAUUUGUUCAUCAGUGCUAGACCUUCGCUUUAAACUGUUUGAACAUUUAUUAUCUGCAGACUUGACAGAGAGUUUGGCCAUGACGAUGAAAAGAUAUAUAUAUUCUCCCUUUGUUUAGAUUAUGAAGUUACUUAAAAAACAGAUUACUGAUGAAGUUGAACAAAAUAACAGGCUUCUGUUUUUUUCUCCAACUUUGCCAAGCAAUGUGAGGCAAAUUACUAUACAUAUCUGUGGAGAAUUGUAGUGUAUUGUGUAGAUAACAAAUCUCCCACCAAGGCAUUAAAUAUUUCACGUAUCUCUUUUAUCAACUUCAUAUGCAAUUAACCAAAAAUUCUCGCACAAUUGUUCAAAGCUUUCGAGUGGAAAUGUGGUUGUGAUAGACAAUAUUGUAACAAUCGAGUGUUGGAAGUUAAUAAGUCAAUUUCGACUGCAUUUGUUGAUGGCGAAUAUAUCAUUAUUUUCAUUCAAUGAGGGUUCACCUGUCCCUUUUGUGUUUAUCUUAUUUUUCUUAUCAAAUGUGUCUACAGAUAAUAAAUUAAUGGGUUGUGCUAUAUGUACAUAAUGAUUUAUAUAAUAUUUUAUAUACACUUGAUAUGGUGAGAUAUGAUUGGAUUAGAAUUUCUUUAACUAAAUAAGAAAAACUUCCCCACUCUUUAUUUGAAAUUUUAUCUGUAUGUAAACCAUUAUGUAACUCCUGAUGUACAAGUAUCAUUAUUCUAAACUAAAACCUUGGUUUUUCAAUACCAGGGGCAGAAGUGCAUAAUUUAAUUUCCCAUUCUUGUUCAUGACCAUGUAUGAAAACGAUCUCUUAAUUGUUUGCUUAUUAUUUUUUCUUUAUACCUUUUAUUGUAUUGACUUGUGUGCUUGGUUUCUUGUACCUGGCCGCUAGCAAGGGUAUUUUUGUUAGAAUAAUGCUGCUUGUACGAGUUACAUUACAGUUUAUCUAUAGAUCAGAUGUCAAAAAGAGAGUGGAAAUUUUUUUUUUAUUUGAUCGAAGAAAUUUUGAACCAAUCAUAUUAUGUCAUCGUCUGUCGCUGCAUAAUUCACUAUAAUGGAAAAAUUUUACAAGAGAAAAAUUGCAGUUGCUAUUUUUUUUAAGUUCUCUUUCUCUUUUCAAUGGCGAUACAAAUUUUUUAAUGAUGGCUAAAUCAUUAAAUUAGAGCAAAAUCGAAAUUACAAGCAUUAAAUUCCUAAACUAUUCUUGCUCAACGACAAUUUGACUCCACAACUUAACACUGACUCUGUACAACGGCACUAAUUAGGCUCUACAACUUAAUAUCUAAUUCCAUACUACUUAUCCUUGCUCUUCCAGUUGAGAUCACGGCUUAAUUUCAUACAUAAGCGAACUAGAAUUAUCAAACUGGAAGGAAAUUUUGGCUGUGGUUGUAAAAUAUAAACCAAUUUUGUGCACGGAAUCAGGGAAGUUUUAGUUAUUUUCUUCUAAACUAUACAUUUCCAAUUGGAUUAGAUCUUCCCACCUACCACGGGAAGUUUCCAUUUGGCUGGUUCUUUGGUUAAAGAACGAACAAAAAGAUGCUCAGCCGGCGGGAAUGGAAUGUGUUGUUGGGGAAAAAAAUAAACUGGCAAUUGUUCUAUAGUAUGAACAUCAGUAUCAAAUCUAGUACAGCCUUAAAAAUCAAGUUUAAUCUAAUGUUGUUACCUAAAAACUUGAUGCGAAAAGACCGUAAUGAGACGACAGUACAAAAUAUUUCUAGAUGCCAAUAGACCUAAUGCCAAGCCGCCUCCGUCCGACCAACAGACAGUUAUUUAUUGAAUAUGCCUUUUGUCCUACUCUUGAGCUCUGAGUCGCCCUACUCCAAGGACAAACUUCGAGGUCCUUUGUUUUUGGGGCUCUAUUAUCGUACUCCCUUCUCUCUUUAAUUGCUGCCCUCAGUUUUCGGGGCACUAAUAGUAUGUCAAAAUCAUGCUGCAGAAAGAUUGCAUUAUAAUUCUACAAGUUGCUUGCUACACUACUACUUGUAAAAAUUGAUAACUGCAUUAGCCAUUUACAUCUUUUGAUAUCAACAACAAAAAGAAAAUGUGCUGUCAAGUUGUUUUCUAUACUUGCGUGAUAUGUUCGGAGCAACAUAUUUAUACAUUUGCCUGAUUGCUUGACUCAACCGAUGAAUCCUCGCUUACGAGUAAAAUUAUAGAGUCGAAUCUCCAACAAGACUAAGAGCUUCGACUAAUGUCUCCCGAAACCUAGCAAGAUUGAUUCUUACAUUUUGACCAUUAAGAUAUGCUUCCUUGCCUAAUGGGUCAUGAACGGAUCUGGGAUCGGUAAUGACUGUAUGGUUUCGUCCAAAGACUUUCAAAAGUGAACUCUCCUCGGGCUCAACCUUAUAUCGCAAGUAAUGCACGCCCAUUGCACAAGCUGGGUUGCCAUAAUAGGUGGCCCCUGCCCAUUCUAGGCCAAGCAGAUCAACUUGAACCAUGACUGCACCAUCAGGCAAGAACAACUCAUUUGUUAGGCCAGCACCAUGUGCUGCUACGAAUACAUUGCACGAGUUUAUCAGAUUGGCAAAUAUGUUCAUACUCGAUACUACUUUUGCUCGUGCAACAACAAUUACUCGAAAGCCUAACUCUUCCAUCAGUGCAACCAUUUCAUCUUCAUUCAAAAAUCUUCUUGAUGUUCUCCGAGAUAAAAGCAUUAACGUUGGCCUUUUGAUCUGAGAUACAUGGCUAAACUUGAGAUUAUAGGCUUGUCGAAGAAACUGUCUUAAGUCGUGCAUCAAAUGGCCUUUAGGGACAUCACUCGAAUUCAAAGACAGAUGGCCAUGAAACUUAAGUCCAACUACACCUCCAGGAAAACAGUGCACGCUUUGAUUUGCAGCCGGAUUCAUGACCUCAUAAGACGACAAACGAGAGAUUACCUUGCUAUAUUUGCUUAGAAACGAUGGGUUGUAGUCCUCAAGGACGAAUAGCAUGCGGGACUGAAAAUUUUUAGUAGUAAUAUACAAAGGGAUGAUGAUUUCAUUGAUUUCAUGGAACACGUUUCCCACAAAGCCACUAGACGAGAAGAUCACAGCAGGGAUUUCGUGGUUGUACUGACAAUCUGGUGGCGUAGUGUUCCCGUGCAAAAUCUUGACUGGUGUCACUAUUUUGAGAAGAUUAUGAUCUUCUUGCCUAGCAUAUGGCUUAAUAACAGUUUCUUGCACAGGCUGAUCAGAGGGAACGUAAACCGUCAUCGUUCUUGUGUCAAUCCUUACAGGUUGAUUUGCAACACAAUGAACAGAAUAAAUUGCCGUAUUACAUGCAAAUCCAGUGGCUUUGAGCUUCACUUGAUCUCCCCCUGUUUAGAUGCAUCAAUUUUAUUCAUAUGGUGUUACUAAUUGGGGGUGGGGGUGGGGUAAUAGCCGACCUGCUAGGAGGCUUGAAAGCAGAAAAUCCAGGGAGUUCUGCUUUUCUUCAAGUGUUUCAUUAUUGACCUUUCUGCUAUUGAAAAUUGUUUCUGAAUUAGAGGUGUUUUUCUUCCCUGCCAUUUUCAUAAAACAUCGAAAGAUUCAACCCGAGUUAGUCAUACAGCAUAAUUGACUAAAAAGAACUGAAUUCUGGAAAAGAAUAUGUAAUAAACGUAGAAGUUUACAUUGAUCAAACGAAAUAAAAUUGACCAAGAAAAGAACAAAAUAAAGCAAAGAAAGGAUAAGCAGGAAGAUCACUGGAGUCGAAUGAAAAACAAGUUUUCUAGGCUCUUUAUCCAUCUCCACUAGUUUAAGAACUAGCUACAAGUUCUUGUAUGAUAUGCAAGAGAAGAAUUCUAAUGAAGUAGAUAAAUCUUUUUAGAAGACUAAAAUAUUUCCAGCUGAUGAGAUUUCAUUUAUUUUCCAAUUUUUCUCUGUUUCCUUUUUAACUUUGAUAAUUAAUUCAUUUAAUAUUCAACAAUUGUUAGGCGACUUUGAAAAGGCCCUCUCUUUGUUAACUAGGUAUUAAGCAAAGAAUAUAUGAAACUUGUAGAUUGUUCUCUCUUGACUUCUUCUUUUUUUCUGGUGCAAGUGUGCAAUUACUUUUUUAUCCUCAACUUGUCUGUAAAUACUAUUUAAGAAACAACCCAAGUAAGUGAUUUCAAUAAUCAAUAUUGUGAUGCUUUGAACUUGCUUGAACUGCGGGAAUUGAAUCUUGCUCAGGACUUUGGGCAUAGCCAACUCCCAUGGUGUGAUGGUCGGUGGUCAAAGAAAAAAGGAUUUUCCUAUUUUGACUUGUGAUUUUACUGAAUAAAGUCAUACUGAAUUAGAUUAAUAUAAUUGAAUAAUUUUAUUUGUUGUUUUAAUUUUAUGUACAUGGUCUUGUGAGUUGGGGCCGACGUCAUGUAGUAGGUAAAAAUUUGAUGGAGUUAAAUUAAUUGGCAUUUUGGGUAUCUAUGCAAAAAUUGGGGUACUUGUAUUGCUCUAUUUAAUUAAUUUUUUAUUAAGAAAGGGAAAAUUAUUUAUUCCGUUUUGUAGUUAAAUACUUGGCCUUAUUGGUUAUUUCCAUGUCAAAAUCGUUUUAUGUCACACGGGUGUUGCCUUGGAAAUUGAUUUUGGUGUUUAACAAUGAAGGUUAAUACAAACUGAAUAGGAUAAUGCAAUGAAAAUUUAGACAAAAUUAGGGGUGAAGAAGAUGAAGACCCUUACGUCUAUACUACAACGACUUAAUUAAAGUGGAUAACCUUGAUGUCUACCGUUCCAUCGCGGGGAUGACGGCACCUUCCACUACAAGAGGUGGACGGGGACAUUGUUGGGUUCAACGGACUUACCUUUCGUCAAAAUUAAUCAAUUGGCAUUUUCGGUAUCUACACAAAGAUUGGGUGACUUGCAUUGCCCUCUUUGAUUAGUUUCCUAUUAACCAAAAAAGGGAGAAAAAAUGUUUUAUAGUUGCAUUUUUGCUGAAUAUUUGGUUUUAUUGGUUAAUUUCCCAAUCACUCUAGCUUCUCAAGAUCAAAAUAAUCUGUAAAAGUAAGUAAAUUACAAAGUAUAAUCUAAAUGAAGUUUAAAAUUAUGAUUAAAACCUUAAUCACUAUGAACAACAGCCAGUCCAAAACCAUUAGAGAAACUAACAAGAAAAGCCUGGAAUUACUAAGAGUAAACAAUUCCACGAAAUUUAUUUUGUUAGAAUUUCGCAAUCACGAGAACAAAAAAAUAAGGGCAGGGCUGACGUUUUUGAUGUCCGCACCAUUCAUGCUUUCAUAUGCUAUGAAAUAAUUGUUUAUUAAAUAUUUUUGACAACUAGGAGAUACAACGUUAGACGGCAGCUACCCAGAUUCCUUAAAUUCUUGUCUAGUUAUUGGCUUUGUAAAAGCUCCGUUGAUUUUUGACGACCCAAAAAACAUCAAAAUCUCAUAAAUAGCUUUGGUUAGAAAUUGGUUGUGAUCCGAAUUUUUGUUGAAUAUUUUGAUUGGAAAUACUGUUGAAGUAGUAGUGGGAUUUUAUAGUAGACUUGAAGAAAUCUUGAAUGAGUUCAAGAAGAAUAAGGAGAAUAAUUCCAUUUUUGGUAGAUUUUUAACUCAUAUUUCAUCUCAAAUUUUUCAUUAUUGGUUUUACCCAUUAUAUUGGGACUUCACUUAAUAUUAAACUUUUGAUGUAAUAAUUCUCCUAGUAUGUUAGAGAUUCUUUGGUUAUAAAUACGUGUUGUACAACACAUAUUGAAUUGAUCAAUUGUUCAAUUAGUUAUUGGUUCAAAUCAUGGGCGGAGCCAUGUAGAGUCAACUCUGGGAGAAAACCUGCACAUUGGCCAUAAAAAUUGGAAAACUUGCACUUUGGGAGAAAAACUGGAAUAAAUGUUUGUCUUAAUAAAAAAUUUGUGCCCGCGCUGAAAUUUUGCCCACACUGAAAAUUUUCUCUAGCUCCGCCCCUGGUUCAAAUGGAUCCUUUGUAACUCUUUACUAUUGAUUAUAGUGAAUUAUCCGUCUUUGCCCGUAGUUUUCCCGAAUUUGGGUUUCCACAUAAAUCUUAUUUUAUUCGUGAUCCAUUAUUUUCAUAUUGUCCAUAUUUUUUCGUUCUUUAAUUAUUUGGCCCGAUUAUAACAAGUGGUAAGAGCCAAGGUUUUGGUGGUUCUUCAGAGGGCUAAGGUUACUAAAGCAAGGUCUGAACAAUGUUGAUUGUUUUAGGGAUGAGAGUAUGAAUUUUGAGUUCCGCUUUUGGGUCACAACAAGAUUUUUUUGUUAUGGUAGGGGAUUAUUUUAUUUUAUUAUUAUUAUUAUUAUUAUUAUUAUUAUUAUUUUUGGGGAUGCUGAAGGAGAAGCAAUGUAAGGAACUAAGGAUUUGUUAUAUAUUUUGGAAGGUUCGACGAUCACUUUGGAUGCAACUGUAGCUUAUGAUUUGAUAAGCAGUGACUCAGGUGGAGUCAGUUGUGAUCGGGUUGUUCGUGGUGAUUCGAACAAUAAUGUUGGAGAAUCUUCUAGUAGCUUGGGUGGAGCUAGUUGUGAUCGGGUUGUUUGUGUUGCUUAUGGUGAUUUGAGCAGGUUUGACAACUUAGAUAGAGCUGAAAGUGUUCAUGGUGAUUCAAGCAGUUUUGAUGACUCGGCUGUAGUUGGAAGUGAACGAGAUAACUCAAAUAAGGUUGGCGCGCAAGGUAAUUCUGCUGGUAAGCAGGGUUUGGAUUUAGUUCACAAUUGUUGAGUAUGUCCGACAGGGACAUGGUGGAAGAGGUAGAGUAAUUUGGUGGAAUGUUAUUGUUUGGAGAAUUCUGUUGGAGUUUAAGAGUUAAGUUUUAUUUCUUGUAAUGAAAUUCGUGUCAAGGUGGAGAUUGUUAGAAUUUACUCAUGACCUGAAUUCUUAUUGAGUAUUUUGAUUGGAAAUAUUGUUGGAGUAGUAGUGGGAUUUUGUAGUAGACUUGACGAAAUCUUGAAUCAGUUCAAGAAUGAUAAGAAGAAUGAUUCCCUUUUUGGUAGUUUUUUUACUUCUGUUUCGUUUCAAAUUCUCCAUUAUUAGUUUUAUCCAUUGUAUUGAGAUUUCACCUUAUAUUAAACUCUUUAUGUAUUAAUUCUCUUAUGUUAGGGAUUAUUUGAUUAUAAAUAUGAGUUGUACAAUAUAUAUUGAAAUUGACCAAUUGUUCAAGUAGUUAUUGGUCCAAAGAUAUCAUGUAUAACUCCUUACUAUUGAUUUAUAGUGAGUUCUCCAUCUCUGCUCGUGGUUUUCUCAAAUUUGGAUUUCCACGUAAAUCUUGUUUUCUCUGUGAUCAAUUAUUUUCAUAUUGUCCAUAUUUUCUCGUUCUUUAAUAAUUUGGCCCGAUUAUAACAGUUUUUGGCUUUGUAAAAGCUCUGUUGAUUUACAAAGAAUCCUAGGAAUUGGGCGAAAUAGCAAGAAAGUCUCACAAAUCCACUGUAUUCUAUGUGAAUCAACUAACUUUUGGAGUGCAUUUAUUUCGCUGCUCACAAAUCAGCAGCCCCACUGAUUUAUUAUUGUUCUUUUCAUCUUUUAUGUCUGGUUUUUGACCUUUCAAAUUUUUGAAAGAUGGAAUUCAAUCAGACACUGAUGGACCAUUCGAUUCUAAACUAAAAGUUUAAAACGCCAGCUUCCAAUAUAAAGGGAAGCUCUUUUUAGUCUUUCCAUGGUUUUAAUGAAAAAGGUUGAAGAAAAACUCAAAAUCAUGAAGCAAUUAAUCAAUGUAUUAAGACCAUAUAAUCAAAAAAUGAAAUAUGAAAACAAGCUUGCAUUAUGAAUUGACAGCACAUUUCAAUUGCCCUUUACACUCUUCCAACUGAAAAUGUGGGCUGUUUAUUUCGAAUACUGGUCCCGAUAGAUAUCUAACAAAAUAAAAAGGAUUAAUCUUGUUGUACAUAGGGGGGUACAUAAGGGUGUCCAUAUGUACCCCCUAUGUAUGUGUAGCAGAGUCCAAGUAAAAAUGCAAUACACUUCACAUGCCAAGUUCUAGUCGAAGAGAGGGACCAAUAUCAAUUUCAAAAAUGCGAUUUUUGUUGUGUUCUGUGGUGAAGAAUAGGUCGAAGAACAGGUCAAAAUAAGCUUCCUAACUUCUUCUCCCUCGAACGGGUAAGAAGACUACGAAAAAAAAUUAAUAAUCAGUCGUUUGCAGUAUUUGGAACUCGAUAUUGAAGGAGUUUCUGGUUUUCUUCAAGUGUUUCAUUUUUGAACUUUCUGCUAUUGAAAAUAGUUUCUGGAUUAGAGCAGUUGUUCUUCCCUGCAAUUUUCACUAAACAUUGAACGAAUGAAUAAUGCUAUUUACAGUCAUUCACUAUUGCAGUCGUCAUACAUGACAUAUAUGUGACAAUUAGUGAUUUGAUAAAUGAGGUAAGAAAAAACUAUAACAUUAAUGCAUUAAAUCAGAAAUCGCUAUGUAAGAUGCCAUUUAGAACGACUGCCAUAGUGAGCGAUUAUGAAUAGUAUUACUCAAUUUUUAUUUAUGUUUCCUUUUCAACUAUGAUAAUUACUUCAUUCCUUAUUCAACUAUAGAGAGGCGACUCUGAACAGGUCAUCUCUUUGUGAACUAGUGAUUAAGCAAAGAAAAUAUGAAACUUUUGGAUUGUGCCCUCUUGACUUAUUAUAUAUUAUGCAAUUAUCUCUCUCAUAUCCUCAACUAGAACUAUUUAAGAAACAACCCAAGUAAGAGAUUCCAAUAAUCAAUUUUGUGAUUCUUUAAACAAUUUGGCUCAAGGACUUUGGGCAUAGGCAACUCCCACAGUGAGAUUGGGCGAGGGUCAAAGAUAAAAGGUUAUUUUUAUUUUGACCUGUGAUUCUACUGAAUAAAGUCAUACAUUUAUUCUUAGUGUAUUAAAUUAAUAUAAUUGAAUAAUUUUAUUUUAUCGUUCUAAUUUCAUGUACACAAUCUUGUGAGUGGGGGUUCACAUCAUCAUGUAGUGGGUAAAAAAUUGUUCGAGUGAGUUAAGAAAAUGGGUUACUUGCAUUGUGGUAUCUAUGCAAAAAUGGGUUACUUGCAUUUCUCUAUUUGAUUAGUUACCUAUUAAGAAAGGGAAAAUUAUCUAUUCAAUUGUUGUUCAAUAUUAUAAUUAAAAUAAAAAAUAUGAUCGUUAUCCAUCAUAUCAAACCACCAUAUUUGAAUUUUUAUCUCUUGUGUGGGGCCCAUAAUAACUAUAUUUUUCAUUCUCAUUUUUACAAUGAUAUGGCUCAAACGGUGGCUGUUUAUUAAGUUGCAUUGUUACUCUCAAUACUGUUGUCGAAUAUUUAGUUUACCAAAAAAUAAAAAAAAUUUAAAAUGGUUGCAUUAUUGCUGAAUAUUGAUUUUGAAUAUUUCAUUUCAUUGGUUAAUUUCCAUAUCACUCUGGCAUCGCAAAACCAAAAUUAUAUGUUAAAGGAAGUAAAUUACAAAAUAUCAUCCGCUUGAAGUAUAAAUAUUAUAUUUAAACCCUUAAUCAUUAUGAACAACAGCCAAUCUGGAAGCGUUAGAGAAACUUACAAGAAAAGUUUGGAAUUACAAAGAAUAAACAAUUCCACGAAAUUUAUUUUGUUAGAAUUUCACAAUCAAAAGGAAAAAAAAAUAAGUGCCGAGUUGACGUUUUUGAUGUCUACACUUCCCAUGCUCUUCAUAAACUAUUAAAUAAUUUUUUAUUUAAUAAUUUUGACAGCUAGGAGAUACAACGUUAGAGGGCUACACAGAUUCCUUAAAUUCUUGUAUAGAAAACCAAAUUUUGAUGGUAGAUAGAGAAAUGUUUUUGCCUUGAUGGAAAAUUGAUGCAGCCGUCGAAGAUGAGUCUGUUUGGUAUGACUUCUGCUUAUGCUUUUUGUUAAAGAGCUUCCUUCUCUAAAAAUUCAUUUUACCAAACUCGUAGAUAAUUAUCCAAAUGAGCCUAAAAAUAAUAUAUUUAUAUCAAAAGGAUCUUUUAACUUUGUAAAAACCCUGCCAAACGGACCCUUGAUUCAUAAAGAAUACAAGGAAAUUCUCUGUAUCAUUGUUAAUCAACUAGCCUUUGGAAUGUUAAUCAUCUUUUGCAUUUAUUCUGCUGCGUCAAAAAUCAGCAGCCUCAUUAAUUUAUUAUUAACUUUAAAUCUUUUUUGUCUGGUUUUUGACCUCUUCAAAGUUGGAAAAGAUGAAAUUCUAAUCAAACAGUAAUGGACCAUUUGAUUCUAAACUGAAAGUCUAUAAUCUCAGCUUCCAAUAUGAGGGGCCUCUUUCCCCUGUUUUUAUUACUGAAAAUGAAGGAAAAUUCAAGAUCAUAAAGCAAUCAAUCAAUGUAUUAUUUUCAGAUAAUCGAAAAUUGAAAUAUGAGAAAAAGCAAGAACAAGUUGCAUUAUGAAUUGACAACCUCUUUGAAUUACCCUUUACACACUUCCAAUUGGAAAUUUUGACAUCUUUACUAUGAUAUGUAUUUAUUUAUUUUAUGUACUGAUCCCGAUAGUUAUCUACUGCAGUUAUAACUCGCAAUACACAUGCCAGUUUAAGUCGAAGGGACCAAUACCAAUUCAAGAUUGUGAUUUUUAUUGUGGUUUGUGGUGCAGAAUAGGUCGAAAUAAGCCAGCUAAACUUUUCUCCCUCGUACUGGUAAGAAGGAGAUUACGAUCAUUUUUAAUACCCACUCAGUUUGCAGGAUUAGGUACUCGACAUCAAAUGGAAAAUCGUACUUUGAGUAGCUGUAUGAUCAUUAGAAAAAACAAUUGUAUAGGAUGGAAGUUCUGCCUUUCUAGUUUCAGUUCAUUUGUAACUUGUUGGUUCUACUAUCUGAAAAGACAAUAGAACAACAACCUCAUUGUUCUUGAGUAUAAACUACACAUCUUAUGAUAUCAGAGAAUUCGAUAAAUAUUUAAUAAAAUGAAAACAAAAUUAGAAAUCCGAGUAUGUAACAAGACUAAGUGCUUCAACAAGUGUGUUCCUAAACCUUGCAAGAUUGAUCCUCACGUUCUGCUGAUCAAGAAACACGGUCCUGGCUGCACGGUAUCCCCCUUUUCUGAAGAGAUAUCCGGGAUCAGUUAUUACUGAAUGAUUUCUUCCAUACAAUUUUAAAAGUGUGCUCUCCUCUGGAUCGAUCUUGUACCUCAAGUAAUGUACACCCAUUGGACGAGCAGUAUCCCCGUAAUAGGUGUUUGAGGGCCAUUCUGUACCGAGUAAUUCUACUUGCACCAUAACAGCCCCGGAAGGCAAGAACAACUCAUUCGUAAGUCCAGCCCCGUGUGCUCCCACCAAGACGCUACACGAGUUAAUCAGUUGGGAAAAUUUGUUCAAAUUCGAUAUCAUCUUUGAUCUUGCAACCACAAUCACUUGAAAGCCUAAUUCUUCCAUCAUCAUAACCAUUUCGUUUUCAUUCAAGAACCUUCUAGUAUUUCUUCGAGAUAAAAGCAUUAACCUCGGCUUCUUAAUUUGACUGACAUGCCUGAACCUCAGACCAAAUGCUUCUCUAAGGAAAUGCCUAAAUUCACGCAUCGAAUGCCCUCCUGGAAUGUCACUCGCAUUCAAAGCUAAAUUGUCGUGGUAUUUAAGCCCGAUUACUGAUCCUGGAAAGCAAUGAACACUUCCAUUUGCAGCCGGGUUCAUGACCACAUAAUCGGACAAAUGAGACAUAACCUUGCCGUAUUUGCUCAUAAACGAAGGCUUGUAAUCCUCGAGGAUAAAGAGCACGCGGGAUUGGAAAUGUUUAGAGGUGAUGAACAGGGGAAUAAUGAUUUCAUUAAUUUCGUGAAAAACAUUUCCUGUCGUACCAGAUGAAAAAAUAACAGCCGGAACACUGUGAUUGUGAAGACAAGCCAGUGAAGUAGCGUUUCCUUUUAGUAUAUGGACCGGUGUAAUAACCUUAAGAUUGUCCUCCUGUCUUGCAUAAGGCCGAACCACAGUUUCUUGUUCCCCGACUCCAUCGGAAAAAACAUAUACUGUCAUAUUGCUGGUGUAAAUCCUUACAGGUUGAUUUGCAACACAAACAACAGAAUGAACAGUCUUGUCACAUGCAAAGCCAGUCGCUUCAAGAUUUCUUCGAUCUUUUCCUGUUUACGUGCAGCAAAAUCUGUAAACAUAUCUUUCUAAAUUCUGAAAACGAAAAGAGAAACUAAUCACAAACCUCUGACUAAUCUGGAUAAAAGAAAUUCCAAGGACUCGGGCUCUUCGACUGUUGGAUUCACUGUUCCACUGAAAUCAGUUUCUGAACUAGAAAAGUAUUGUGUCCCUGUAAAUUCCAAGAAUUCGAAGUUAGCCAUGGUUGAAGCUUUAGGAUAAGAGAACAUGUAAACAAAAGUAGAAUUACAUCGUUUGAAAUGAAUAGUAUUCCCCCAAACGAAAUCAACACCAACACAAAUCAAAGGGAGAAUAAGCAGUAAUAUAAUUGGAGUGGAACCAAAAAUUAUCCUCUUAGGCUCCUCCUUCAUCUUCCAAGAGUUGAGAAACCUGUUAGAAGUUUUGGCAUGUUAAGAAACAAAAGAAAUUAAAAAAUAAUAAUAAUAAUAAUAAUCCUUUUAAGUAAUAAAAUACUGUCAUUUGACGAGAUGCCAAUUUAUUUAUUAGCCAUAAAUUGUUGGUUCGUCUUCUGUUUCACUGUCAUUCUUUUCACAGUUUUAUCCUUAUUCUGAUUAUUCCAUUCAAUCGUUUGCAAGAAACUUUGACUUAUUACCUAAGCAUUCAAUUUUUUGUUGUAAUUGAUGACUUGUGCUUGGCUUCUUCUUUAUGAUACAAUUAUUCAUUAAUUAAUCUUUUACCCUUAAGCCUGCGCCUACAACUGUUUUAAUGGACAAUUAUUACCCGGAUAAGACUUAACAGAUUCAAGAGGAAUAACGGUAUCUAGCACCACUUUAGGUGACAGUGGAGCCCACUUGGACUUGUCAUAUGAGUUAAAAUGCAUUUUAACUCCAUUGAAUUAUUGAAAGUGGACCUCCACUUUUAUCGAUUGAUGUUAAAUAGUAUUAUUCAUUUGAAUGUCAAUAUUAUGGUGCUCCGAACGAGUAAUGCUACCUAUCACCAAUAAUGUUCAACUGCAAACUAGAGGGGAGUACCUAGAAUGGAAUUUCUAGAUUGCAAUAAUGAAGAUAAGACUUAAGAGGAACCAUUAAUAUGUAUUUAAUCCUAUUUAAGACAAAAUAAGAGAGUCGUAGUAAGGCUGCUUAGAGUUGCAUUCUUUUUGUCCCCAAAAGCCCCCCACCCCCACCCCGCAUAUGCUUUUUAUGAAAUAAAUUUCAUGGGAAAUGGGACAUUGAUGCCUUACCUCCUCUAGUACAAAAGCCAAAAGAUGAUAAAAGCUACAUACUUAUGUGCAGUGUGUAACAGGAUCUUCACUUGAGACAUUCCAAUUCUUAAUACUCAAUAUAAGAUUUCACUCAAUUAAGGAUUAAGUUAAUGAUCAAUUAAACAAACAAUCAAGCCAAUGUGAAGAAAGCCCAUUGAGGAAACUUAGAAGAACACUAAUUAGAAUGAAUAAAUUAAUUGAGACAAACACAAAAUCCAUCCUAAUUUUCUAGUUUUAUUUCAUAAAUUAAUGAUUCCAAUUUCUAAUAAAAUUGACAGUUACAAGAUUAAUUAAAGAACAUAUGUUUCAUACAUACAAUUUUGCAUGGAUGGAGCCAAAAAUCACGCUGGACCACACCCCAGUUUUAUUUUAUUUUUAUAUUUAUUUAUUUUUUGGCUUCUUUAAACCCUUUAAAGUUUUGGAAAUACUGCAUGAUGGGAUUUGAAUUCAGCAAAUUGGAUUUUUCAGUCUAAAAUGAAACUUUAUUUCGAAUAAAGGGUUGCAUAGUCUUGGAUACUUUUAGACCAAGGAACAAAUCAGAGGUCGAAAUUUGUGGAAGCAUAGACAAGUUGCAUUAUGCUAUUGGCUUUUAGUUAAAGUUUAAUUAGAAAUAAUUAUCUUUUUGAUCAAAUAUCGAUUUGUAAAGAGUGUUGGUAUCAAAUUCCUUUUUAAUAGUUUAUUAGACAAGAUAAUGAUUAUUUAUAAAGACCAUCACAAUUAUUUUCCAUUUCUAUUAUAUUUUUAUUUUUAUUAUAUCAAUAUUAAAUGAGAACCUUCAAACCUCUUCUCAAGACCGGUGUUAAUUGGAUAAUCACGAUUGAGUUGAAUUGGUGAGAUGAGUUCAUUAAGGAGUUUCCAUAAGUGAAGUUUAGUGCAGGGCCAUCAUGGAUUUAAAGAAACUCCUGUAGAGUGAUGCGUCGAUCUUGGUGCAUCAGAAUUGGAAUUGAACAAUUUUGUUGGUGUCAAAUCUUCAAUUUUCGAUUGAGGGAAUACAUUUUUAUUGUGUUGGUUCAUCGUAAAUGAUCUAUAUUUCAUAAUUAUAUUUUUUAACUUAUUUUGAAUCCAGCUGUUAUUAAAAUAAUUCAAGUCUUGAUCUACAUGUAUGUUACGGACACUAAAACACUACAUUAGAAUGCAAGGUCGCCAUAUCGAGGAUGAUCAGACGAUGUCUUGGGUGAAGAUUUGACAUACCUCUUUGAGAGACAGACCAUCAAGUGUUCAUUGUCAUGGCAUGAUUUGUUGUCAUGUUGCAAUUGACUAUUGAUUUAUGUUCCUUAAAAAUUGUGUGUUGGGGAUUGUUUGGAUGCCUCAAUAAUUGAAUACUGGUUGCUUACUCAGUUGUUGUGGGCCCAUGACUUGCCGAGUUUAUGUUAUGUGAAAUACGGCGUAACAUCAAUUAUGCUACAUAAACAUAAUGGCUGACAUAAUGUCAUGUGUCUACCUAUCAUUGGAUUGUUUGAAAUACAAUCAAUUUUUUCAAUUAAUCAUAUCUUGCCAAUAUUUAUUAUGUCAACCAUUAUGUCAAAUAUUUUCUGGCAAGUAGCAUUAUUCGUGUAACAUUAGCACAAGUGUAACUCGUACAUUUAUGUACCUAUCCGUGUUUAUGAUAAAAAUAGAAAUAAGGUCGAAACUAGUUCUUUCACAUGUAAGACUGAGCCCAAAAUACAACGGGCCAACAUUUGGGUUUCAGCGUGACUGUACUACAAUCAAAAUGGCUCUUUAAUAGUCUAAAGGUUCAUGGGCCCUGUACAUGUGGGCCCUCACAUGCCACAAUGGCACAAUCUACACAAAAUUUGAAUAUGAAAACAAAAAGAAAAUAAAAAAUGUCAAUUGUCUUCCUCUCACCACCGAACACAAGAAAAGAUAAAAAGGGGCUUUAUAUUUUGUGAUGAAAAGAACAAAAUUUCAAAGGAUAAAAUUUCUGUCACGAUGGAGUAUUCCAGCGAUAAUCACCAGUUUAUGACACACAAUGAAUUAACAAACAAGAAAAUUUGCACAAUGAAUUCUAGCACCAAUUGCAUCAUUCGACUAUUCUAACAAACAAAAGAAUAACAAAGUAUAGAGUGCAACUCUAUCGAGUAAAGAUUAGAUUUUUGGUGAGCACAACACAAGAAAGUAGGUCUGGGCACUUUAACCGGAAUCAAAUUCUCCUGAACCGAAAUCGAACUGAAAUCCGGGAUUCCAAUCUAGUUCCCGAAAAAAUAAUUUAGGAACCAAAAUCGAGAACCAACUGGGUUCGGUUAGAUUCGAUUAUUGGUUCCUAAACUAGAAUAUUGGGUACUCAAAUGAAACCGAUUUUUAUCAAAAAUUUUUAUUUAUAAUUUAUAAGCUAGAAAAAACAUAUAAAACCUAAAAAUCCUAAUUUUGGUAGUAAUUAAUCUAAAACUUUAAACUCUAAUCCUAAAAAAUAAGGUUGGUUCUUACUUUUUAACUUCUCACCUUUCAUCAAAUUAUUGCAUUUCAGAGGUUAUUAUAUGUUAAUAUUUAUAAUUUGAGAUUUUUAUAAAUUAAAAAUUUCAAACAGAUUGUAAUAUAAGUUGAUGAAUCAAAGCGUUCAUUUUUUUGCAAUUAAAACUUUUUACUUUCUUGUAUCAUUAAUAAACUUAAGUGAUUUUUUUUUUUAAUUUUUUCAUAAUACAUGGCAAUUGAAUUUGAUAUAUUCAUUACUCGCGCUGAGUUGUAUCUUUUUGUUAUUUUGAGUUCAUGAUUCUCUUUUAAAAUAUUUAUUUUUUAUUUAAAAAGAGCGAGUUCAAUAUGUGGACCGUAAUUUUUUGACGCUAUGUUAGCUAUGUAUAUAAUUAAUAUUUUUUAUAUCAGUUCAUUUUAUAAGUAUAAGAAUUGAAGCAUUGUUCAUAAUUAAAUUAUAUACCUAGCAUGCAUCUCUUAGAGAUUGAAUAAGAUUUAUUAAGUAAAGUAAUUUUUUCUCAAAUUAUAAUUUCAUUUUUGAUUUUUUUCCCUAUUAUCGUGACUUUUGGUAUCCAAUAUUUUACUUUUUGAAUAUUUUUUAACUGAAUUUUCUCCAUUGCACAUAUAUUUUCGAAUAGUUGCGUAUUAGGUAUAUGUACCAAAAGGGUGUAUAUGUGAAAUAUCUAUUAAAUAAAUGUAUAAAAAAAUGUUAUGGGUAGAAUCGAAAUCGAAUCGGAACUGAAAGUUCGAAUUUGGGUUUGAUUCUAGUAUUUACAAAAACUUGAAUGGUUUCAUUGCGAAAUACUCUAAGCAUAAUGGGUGGUUCUCAAUAUUGAAAUACGUGGACUGACUCACCCAAUGCCAAGACCUACAAGAAAGUAUUGUUUAUUCAACAUCAUCCAAUUUCCACGCAAUAUGUCCAAUACCAACCCAAAACUGGUGUUAGUCAUGUUGUAUACAAAAAACAAUUUUGAAUAAUUUAUUAAGUUAUGGAGGCCAGUUACUGUUGCUUUGUGAAAUUUGUACGUUGAUUGACCUUAAUAGAAAGUUUUCAUUAGAAUUUUGUAAUUAUCAUAAACAAGAGAUAGGUUAAAAAAUAUAUUGUGUCCGAUUUUUCUCUCAUAACAUUUUUUUUCAUUAUAUUGAAUUAUUGUAGUGGCAGACGAAAACGCGGUUUCAGGUUGAGGGAACAUCCAUAAAUCUUGUAUGUUCUUUUGUAUGUUUAUAUUUUACAACGAUUUUAUUGCUCUUAAUAAUAUAGAAUUAGAAUUUCUAAUUCUCAACAUAACUCGUUAUCUAAGUCCUUCACGUAAUAUUUCCAAAAGGGAGUAAGAAAUUUGGGUUAGGGUUUUUAUUGCCCGAGCUGUGUUUGUUUUGGGUUUUUACUGCAAUUAGUAGAUCAAAUUCUAGUAACAUAGUUGAAAACUUGACAGGUAUACCUUAAUUAUGUCAUUGAGUUUCAAAUGAAACUGCAUGUCAUUGUUUUUUAACAAUUAGUGUUGUAAUUAACUUCAUAUCAUUUCGUGCCUAUCAAAUCAACCAUUUACUUGUUUGACAUGUUAAAUUAGAUAAAAUAAAUGAUAAGUUUUCAAACAUUUCUAAUAAUUUUGUUCGGUGUUAUACGUCUAAAUAUAAAAAUAUAGAAUUUUAGAAUAGAGUGUGAUAUUGAUAGCUACAAGGUUCAUAGUUACACAACCCCGGAUUCUUCAUACGUUUCAUACAUACAAUUUUGCGUGGAUGAAGCCAAAAAUGGCGCUGGACCCCCCAUCCCCAUCCCCAUCCCCAUCCCCCCAUCUCAUUUUUAUUUUUAUUUUUUUGUUUCUUUAAAUCCUUAAAAGUUUUGGCAUCACACAAAUUAUGGGAUUCGAAUUCCGAAACUUGGAUUUUUCAGAAACUUUAUUUUAAAUAAAGGGUCGAGUGGUCAUGGAUAAUUUUAUUUUAAUAUUUUCUUUUAUAAAUUUAAAAUUUCAUAAACGUAUUAAAUCAAUGGAAGACCAAGGAACAAAUCAGAGGUUGAAAUUUUUGGAAGCAUAGACAAGUUGCAUUGUGCCAUUGGCUUUUAGUUAAAGAUUAAUUACAAAUACUUAUCUUUUUGAUUACUUGUCAACUGUGAAAAGGAAAUAAUUGCAGCAAAAACUCUAAACCUUUAAAUCAUUAGCAGUCUUUCUCCAAACUUUUGAUUUAUUGCAACCGUCACUCUAACAUUUCCAAAUGUUGCAAGAGAGACCCUUUUGGAUAGUUUCCAUUCAAACGUCUGUUAGUUGAUCACCCAAAAAAAAGAUUGACCACUUUCUACGAAAAUAGGGAAGGAUAAAUUCAUGCAUACACUCAAAAAACUAAUAUCCAAAUAAGUUACUGUUUAUUUCCUUCCAAAUGUAAUAGAUUAUCAAUUUCUCACUAUUUUAUCAACAUAUUGAAUUGAAGGUAGAAGAAAUGGAUAUGCCAGUUUGCAGUUGUGGAGCCCUGCUCAGAUGAAAACAUCGUGGACUUAUUUCAACCCAGGCAAGCGAUUUCUUACCUGUCCACGUGAAAAUAGAUUUGCAAGACUGUACAUUAUUUCUUUGGUGGAAUCUCCCAAUGUGUCAGAAUUAAGGGAGCUAAUACCUAAUCUUCUUCGGUCGAAGCGAGAGAUGGAAGCUGAAAUUAGGCAACUCUGUUAGAAUGGAGGAGGUGUAUGGAUGAUUUGGUUUUGCGGGUUCGUCUAUGGAAUGAUUGUAAAAUGGAUCUACAGAUAAAUCUGUGUUGGGUUUUAGGGGUUUUUUGUUGAAUAUGUAAUCCUUCUUCCAUAAUAAUGUAACUAAAGUUAAUGGGUGUAAAGUGCAGAUUACAAAUAAAAUUAUGAAAUCCAACAAAAAAGGAAGAUUAUAGAUCUAAAAAAAACCCCAAAAAACCAAAUCUUCCAUACACCAACUCCAUUCGAAGUUUCAAACGGAGUUACCUAAUUUCAGCUUUCGUCUCUCGCCUCGAUCAUAGAGGACCAGGUAUCAACUCCCUUGAUCUCUAACACAUUGCGAAAUCCCACUAAACAAGAAUGUAUAGCCUUGUAGAUCCAUUCCGCGUGGACAGGUAAAAAAUCAUCUGCCUGGGUUCAAAUUAGUCCACGAUGUCUUCAUCUGAGCAGGGGUUCUGCAACUGCAAACUGGUGGCAUUUCCAUUUCUUCUACCUUCAAUUCAGUAUGUUGAUAAAGAGUGAGAAAUUGACAAUUUAUUAGGGUGUACUCUACUACAUUUGGAGGGAAAUAAAUAGUAAUUUCUUUGGAGGUUAGUAUUUUAAGUUUAUGAACGAAUUUACCCUCCCUUAUUUUGGUAAAAACUGGUCAAUCUUUUUUUGGGAGGUCAACUAACAGACACUCGGAUGGAAACAGUCCAAAAAUGCCUCAUCUACAAUAUUUGGAAAGGUCAAGGGUGACAACUCCAACGAAUUAAAAGUUUGAGAAAAGUCUACUUAUGUUUUAAAGGUUUAGAACUUUUGUUGCAAUUAUCCUUGUGAAAAGUGUAGGAAUCCAAUUCCUUUUUAAUAGUGUUAUUAGACAAGAAGGAUUAAUCAUUUGUGAACCAUCAAAAUUAUUUUCCCUUUUUAUUAAAUUUUAUUAUUUUUGUGAAAUCAAUAUUAUGCUAAGGAGUACCUUCAAAACUCUACUUAUGACUUGUGUUAAGGGGAUAAUCAUGAUUUAGUUGAAUUGGUGAGAUGAGUUUUAAGGAAGAUUAGUGCAGGGCAAUCAUGGAUUUAAAGAAAGUUCGAUAGAGUGAUGUGUCCUUCGUGCAUCUGAAUUGGAGUUAAACAUUUGUUGGUGUUAAAUCUUUCGAUUGUGGGAAUACAUUCAUAUUGUGUUGGUUUAUAGAUUUUAUAAUCACUUCUUUUAUUCGAUUUGCCUGAAUCCGACGUCAAUAAAAGAAGCCAAGCCUCGACCCACAUGUAUGUUACGCACACUAGAAAACUAUGUCAAAUGCAAGGCCACCAUAUUAGGGAUGAUCUAACCCCCCGGGGCAUAGUCCAGUAGUGCAAAGGACGGGAGUGAGGUUAUUUCACGCCUUGUUGGUGGUCGCAGCGUGGGGGUUCGAUUCCUGAGGCAUAGAACUGGACUCCUUGUAGGCGCAGUGUAGAGACAGCUCUUGUUCCCUAACCUGCUGGAACACAUUCCGCAAUUUACCUUCCUCACAAAACUCUAGGGAUGAAGCGGUGGGAGCACUCAAGGUUGGAGUUCAACCUUUUUUUAUUUUAUUCGGGAUGAUCUAAUGACUUCUUGCACUCUUAACACUUAGGUCAACUAUCGACUUUUGGAGAAACAAAUGGAGAGAAUAUUGGCUUGUGUGAAAGAUUUGAUAUCCCUAUAUUGAUUUAGGUGAAGGAUUUGACAUACCUCUUAGAGAGAGAGAGAUCAUCAGGUGUCAUGUCAUGGUUAAUUGUCAUGUCCAAAUUAUCUUUCCAUUUAUGUACCUUCAAGAUUGUGUCUUGGAUGGCAAUGUAACAUUAGCCCCCCAAGCGUAAGUUAUACAUUUAAGUACUUGGGACGCCCUUUGGGGCAUAGUUCAGUGGUGCAAAAGAUAUGAGUGAAGUAGUCUCAACCUUGCUGACAGUCGCAGUGUGAGGGUUCGAUUCCUGAAAUAUGGAAUUGGACUUUUUGUAGGCACCAGUGUACAGACAAGCUCUCGUUCCCUGGCCUGCUGGAGCACAUUCCGCGAUUUACCUCAUUCACUAUGCUCCAGGGGCAAGGCGGUUGGGAACCCUCAAGAUUGAGGUUCAACCUUUUUUUUUUUUUUUUUUUUUUUUUUUNNNNNNNNNNNNNNNNNNNNNNNNNNNNNNNNNNNNNNNNNNNNNNNNNNNNNNNNNNNNNNNNNNNNNNNNNNNNNNNNNNNNNNNNNNNNNNNNNNNNNNNNNNNNNNNNNNNNNNNNNNNNNNNNNNNNNNNNNNNNNNNNNNNNNNNNNNNNNNNNNNNNNNNNNNNNNNNNNNNNNNNNNNNNNNNNNNNNNNNNNNNNNNNNNNNNNNNNNNNNNNNNNNNNNNNNNNNNNNNNNNNNNNNNNNNNNNNNNNNNNNUUUGGGUUUAACUUUUUUUUUUUUUUUUUUUUUUUUUUUUUACAUUUAUGUACUUGGUGUUUGUUAAAAAGUAUAAGUAAGGUCGAAUGCAUGCAAGAUUGCCUUGGGUGUGUUAAGACUUACUAUUAGCUUUUGAAUAUAAGCUAACUUCAAAUAUUUGAUGACUUAUGAUUAGCCUCUAAAGUAUAAGCCGGCAUGAAGUGGAUGAGGAUUUACCACUUACCUCUAAAAUAUAAGGAAGAAGAGCUCACAAGCCAACCUUAGACAUAUGAGGAGGCUUUAUGGUUGUGGAUGAGGAUUUACCACUUACCUCUAAAAUAUAAGGAAGAAGAGCUCACAAGCCAACCUUAGACAUAUGAGGAGGCUUUAUGGUUGGCCUGUGAAAAUAACUGAGACGACAUGAUUAGACAAUUUUAUUAUUAUUAUUAUUAUUUUAUUUUUUUGGCAACAUCUCCCUUUGAAUAUGGAUUAAACCCAUCUAAUAAAACAACACAAAUUCCCAAAAACAAGUAUAGAAAUAAAAAUGGGACAGUAUGCUACAAGGUCGUUGAACUGGGGAUGAUCUGAUGACUUUUGCACUCCGAUGCUCAACUCAAAUUUCGACUUUGAGUGUGGAAAAAACAACUAGACAUAACGUUACCUUUUGGUGAAAGAUUUCACAUACUUCAUGAGUGCAAAUUACCUAUGUAUUGAGAAAUAUGAGGAGUGAUAAGUGAAAUUUUCUGUCAAGUGUUAUGUCAUGAUUAGUCGUUGCAUAAAAAAUUUUAUUUUGAUUUAUGUUCGAUUAGGAUUAUAUCCCGGGGUCCGCUCGAAAGCCUCAAUAAUGAAAUACAGAUUGUAUAGUCAACUUUAUGUUUGUUAUUUUCCAAUUAUUGGUUACGGGUAUUUUCAUGCCUAUUUGGCCCAGUUCUUUUACAUGAAAGACUGAGCCCAAAAUAUAACGGGUCAUUUGGGUUUCAACUUGAUAAAACUCAGUACUUCAAUAAAAAAUGACCCUUCAAUAGUUUAAAGGCCAUUUUGUUAGGACUCCCACAAAGGGGAAAAAUACACAACUACUAGAGUGUAAGAAUCAUAUUUCAUAAUUAAUAAUUUUAUAAAAUAGUUCCAAAAUUCAGGUGCUAAAAGCAAUAUAAUAACAUAUAAUAUAAUCUAAAUUAGGAUAAAAUGUAGUUUAAAAUAAAUCCUACAAAAUAGGAAUUAUUCCAUAUUUAAAAGAUAUUUAUCACUCUCCUUCUCACAGGCUAACACCAUAUUUCUCUCUAUAAACCCGAUUUCCAAAAUCGUUGCAAAUUUUCCCUAAGAGUGUUUGAUUACAUUUAUUUUCCAUGGAAAAUAUCAGUUUUCCACCCAAAUUCCUUCUUGAGGUGUUUGAUUGCUAAUUUUUUUCAUGGAAAAUAUUUUCUAACUUUUGAAAAUAUGCCUAAUUUUUCUUGUUUUUAAGGAAAACAUUUUCUUUGGGUGGAGGUGGUUUUUAUUUUCCACAAAAAAAGGAAAAUAUUUUCUUUUUUAGGUGAUAUUUUUCAUGUCAAUCAAACACACUCUAAAUCUUUAAUGUUAAGCCAAAAUCAAAGAAUAAAGUCACAAUAUAGUCGACAAACUUGAAAUUUAUUCUUUUCGUCAAGCUGAAGCUCGUCGGCAGACCAAUUGAAUGUGCCCAAAGCAAAUACUGACAUUCCUUGACAAUUCGAAGCCCUAACAAGCACGUUAGUAUUUAAUAUGGUCGAAUCGAAGUUAUGGCAUUUUAUGAAAGCAAAAGAUUACAAUCAUUGAUUCUUUGAGCAAUUCAUAGGACAGAACUUGGUUUUACUAGAAAAUGAAGAGAUUUCAAACUUUCAUAGAGAAAAAUUCAGGGAUUUAUGAAGUUGAAGUGAAGCUGUAUUUGCAGAUUAGGCUGAAGUUUAAGUUUGAGAAGUUAAAACAAAUGAAUAUUUGUGAUGAUAGCCAUACAUAAUACAAUUUCCUUUUACAAUGGUAAAAAUAGAAGAGAUGGGCAUGUUGAGGAUUCUGUGCCAUUGGGAGUAUUCUUGGGAAGGCCUGCAAAUAAUUUUGAUGGUACUAGCUAUUCAUAAUAAUUUGUAAUUUCGGUAUAUGGGAUGGGUUUUAAUGAAUCUAAUUGCAUUUUGAGCUCAUUUCAUACUGUUAAUUCCUUAUUUGUUGCUUGUUAAGUUUAUAUUCCCCAUUUUAUUUUUAUUUUUACCUUACUUCCUAGUAAAGAAUCUCGAAAAUUAAAUGUUGAAAUGGAAAAUUGAAAUCAUUUUAGAAGAACAAUAUAAGACCUCGUCCUGGGUUGUUGAAUCCAGCUGCACUGGAAAAUAUUGUUGUAAUAAAGUGGGUUCUAUAUAUAAUAUGACUAUUGAGACAGAGUUUUAGCUUCAAUCUCUAGAUUGUUGGUAAAAUUACUCGGGUUGAUCGUCUCUUGUUAACCAACCAGGUCUGUUAUAACAUUAAAUGUUUGUAACCAGACAUGUGUAAGUGAUUAAUAACUAUAACUGGGUAUGUCUUCAAUAUAAGUAUCUGUGACCAAGUUUAUUUUAACUUUGAUUGUACGCAAUCAGGUAUUUCUUAAAAGUGACUGUCUAUUAUCAUGUUUGUCUUAAAUGUGCCCAUUUGUAACUUGUUCUAUUUUAACUUUGACUAUAUGUGAUCAGUACUAUCUAAAUUAUAAAUGUAUGUGACCAUAUCUGUGUUAAUAGUGUUUUGUGAUCUAAUAUGUGAAAAUGGCGUGACCACUUCUAUGUUAAUUAUGACUAUUUGUGAUAUUUAUGCGUUAAUUGUGACUCUAUGCGACAAAGUUUGUGUUAUAUGUAACUGUCUAUGAUCAGGUUUGUUUCCACUACGAAUGUUUGUGCCCCCUAAUGCAUUUAUUGUGGCAUGUUGUUAUCUUACUGUGACCUAUUAUUGCCUAACUACAAAUUACAUUAAUCAAAGACCUAUGUUAUAGGAACAAUCUAUUUAUCGAUCACAAACCACAAAUUUUGUAAAUUAUAACUUAUUUAAAAGUCACAAAUUAUGAAAUUAAUUGAUCAAGACUUAUUUUUUUGUCACAAAUCAUAAAUUUUAUAAUAGAUUAAUAGAUCACGACUUUUUUCAAUCAUAAAUCACAAAUUUUAAAUAUCACAACUUAUUUCGUGGUUACAAAUUAUAAAAUUAAUUGAUUAUAAGUAAAUUUUCAAUCAAAAAUUAUCAAAUUGGUUGGUUUCUCUUGUAAAAUGUAAAUUUAUUAUGGUUUAGAAGUGAAUGACAAUUAUACCCCUGCAGUCCUGAAAAUUAUUAUUGUUGUAUCUCCGAUUCUGCCCUAUAAAUACAGGAUUUUGGUUCUUAAUAAAACACACACAAGCCUAUUGACUUCUCUCUGUUCUCUUCUCUUUUCUUCACUUUUAUAACACAUUAUCAGUACGAUAACUUAAUUUUUCAAAGUUUAGUGAACGUAAUAAUUUUUAUAUGCGUGAAUAUUUUUCACGUGUACCAAAAUUAAUUUGGUAGCAUGUGAAAUAUUUCAAUAUACAUAUACAUCAUACGAUGUUGCUUCUUCUUCUCUACAUUUUAUCGACAUGCAUAUUAAUUCUAAUUCACGUUUGUAUGUGUAAUCUGAACACAUAUUAAUUCACUUUUUUUUAUUUAUGCACGAUCAUUUUUUCACAUAUUAUUCAGUAUUAACUCUGUCUUAUAAAUCUGUUAUAUAUUAGUUCUAUCUUUAAUUUCUAUAUAUAUGAAAUUUAUAUGCAUGUUUAGUAUCUUUUGCAUGUUGAUAAAAAAUUUAGCCAAUAAAUUAUUUGGCCAAUUUUGUUAACUUCUAUAUAAGGAGAUUCUUUUUCUUAAUGCAUGUUUGUUAAUUAAUUUUUCUAUAUAAAUUCAUAUUAUGUAUAUAUGGUAAUUAAAUAUUUCUAGAUAUUAUUCUAUGAAUUUCAAAUUAGAAAUUUAUCAUCUUGUUGUUUCAAAAGUAGCACAACAUUUUAGUUAAUAUUCCAGAAAAAUAUUAAUUGUAUAUCUAUCUAUUAUAAAUAGUUCGUUGUUGCUCCUGAAGUAGCACAACAUUAUUAAUAUUCUAGAAGAAUAUUACUUGCUUAUAAAGAGUAUGGUAUUGCAAGUUCAAUAAUCCAAAAGAAUAUUGACUCAAUGCUUUUGAAGAAGCAUAAUUUAAAUUAUAGUUAUUUUAAACGAAUAUAAUGUUGAUAUUUUUGAAGAAAUGCAACACACGUUAUAUAAAUAUUUAAGACGAAUAUUUCAUUAUUACUCAUGUAGGGCAUAAAUUUUAUUAUUUAGCUUGAAAGGUAGAAUGAAUCGUUAAUAUCAAUAUUCUAGAAGAAUAUUGUAUUUAUGCUCUUAAAGAUCAUAUAUCUCAUUGUGUUCCCAAAAAAAUCACAUUUUAUAUAAUAAAAAAAAAGUUGUGUUGGUAUUUCUGAAGAAACACAAUAUUAUUAAUAUUUUAAAAAAGAAUAUUAAUUACUUCAAAAGAAUAUGACAUUAUAAUUUCAAUAUUCCUGAAGAAUAAAUCACGAAUUGAAUUAUUCUAAUUAUUUACGUAUCCACUUUUCUGCAUACAUAUUUAGAUAUUGAUGUUCUUGUCAGAUUGUAUUACUCUUAAAGAGCAUAAUGAUAUAAAAUUUAAUAUAAAAUUAUGUUUUUACUCUUGAAAAGUAAAUCCUUACAUAAUUAUUAUUGUAAACAAUAAUAUGUUAUUGCUCCUGAAGAGCAUGACAUUAAAAUUUUCUAUAUUUUAGAAGUAUGUUGAUCUAUUGUUCUUGAAAAAGUAAUAAUAAAUAUAAUGUGAUCUCAAAAUAGCACAUUCUAAUUUUCAUUAAUACUAUAGUUAGAUCUUACUUACUCUCGAAAAGUAUAAUUACAUAUAAUCUAACGUAAAUUAUAUUUUUACACUCGAAGAGUAAAGUAUUGUAUAAUUCAUUAUUAUAAUAUUUGAUUGCUCGCGAAGAGCUUGAAUUGUAAUUUUCAAUAUUCCAGAAGAAUACUGACAUAUUACUUUUGAAUGAGCAAUAAUAAUAAUAAUAAUAAUAUAACGUGCUUUUAAAGCAGCACAUGCUUUGGAAAAUAUAUUAUUUAGAAUUCAUGUUUAUCCGUGAAAGAAAAUAUAUAACUAAUGUCGUUAGAACAUUGAUUAGUUUGACUACUUGAAUUAUAUAUGAUUAUAUAAUAUUUAAUCAUAUUCUUGGAGAUUAAAUGAUUGAAUUACAUAUUAUAUUGAACCAAAAGUUCAAUUUGAUUUUAUUAUUUGACAUGAUAAGUUGGACCAUCACUAGAUCAAUAAUGAUGCGAAGUUAAAAUUUUAAUGGAUAUUAAAUGAAAAAUUAGAAGAUUUUUCAAUCAAAUGAAUUCAUAUAUAUUAUUUGUUGUCUUUAUUAACAAUUGAUCAUUAAGCAUCGCUAACUAAAUUAGGGAUUGAAUGUCCUAUAUUUCUGAAAAUUAUUUAGGGUGAUAUAUGGGGCCCUAUCACCCACCAUAUUAACCAUCUAAAUAUUAUUUGUAACAAAUAUUAAAUGAUUGCAUAGUGUUCGCGACCUAAAAUUUUGCGAAAUUAUUACUCAAGUUAUGAUCAUAAUUUUCAGAUUAUAUAAUUAAGACUAUGUCUUGUUAACGCUAGUGGGCAUAAAUCUCAAUAUUUUAAUAAGUGUUAGUUGAGAUGUCGAUGAUAAAUGGUUUAACACUAUUGUUUGUUAAAUGUCUUGAAUUAAUUUAAUUGAGAAUAAAAUUAUUUCCAAUUUUUAUUUAGGGAAUUCUAUUACGCAUCAUGUCAAAAUCACAGUUCUCCAUAUUAUAAUUAGCUUAUGGUCAGAUCCUAAUUUUUGCAUCUAAUUAUUUUUUAUGAUGUAGUAUAUGUAAAAAUUGAACACCACAAUACACUGAGUUGGAAAAUAAAGAAUGCUGAGAAUAAGUACGUAGUUUGAACUAUUAUUUAAAAUGGGCGAUAUUUUAUAACAUUGAAAAAAUGAUUGUCAAUUUAAUUGGACAAUUCUCUCAACAUUAUGGGAGGAAUUAAGAAGUUGAAAAUAAUGUAUAAAUGGAUCAUCAUUUAAAUCCUCGAUAAAUAUCAUUCGAACCAGAAGUUCGAAAGAUAAUUUAUUUAUAUGCAUUUAUUGAUCAAAGAGAUCAACAAUAUCUCGCGCACUAAUUUUUAAUGCUCCAACAUGAAUUGAUGCCUUAGGGGACAAUUUGUUAGCGAUAUAUUUGAUAUAUAUACAGCAUGCAUAAAGCGUGAUGGUGUUCGAUUCUAAUACAAAAAUCUUCAAAUGAAAAUGGAGCAAUUAGCAAAGGUGGUUUCAUUAAGUAGGCAUAUAUUCUUAAUGAGUAUUUAGACAUAACAAAUUAUAAAACCCUAAAAGAGGUUCAGGUACCUGAUAUGUUGAAAAUUAAGAUAUCUAAAUAAAUUAUAUCACUAUGGAAAAAGAAAUAGAAUCGAACGAGAAAAGAAAAAGUUGUCGACAACAAAUUUGUACAUGAUAUAUAGUAUCAUAUGUGAAUCGCGAGGAAUCAAAAUAAAUUCGUCGAAAUAUAUCGAUCGAAAUAAUGUUUGGCCAAAUAAAAGGAGACGCCAUCUUAAAUUGAAUUUACUAGAUAAACACAAAAUUUUUGGACCUGUAGUUCGAAAAUCUAAAGGUAUAUACUUUUACGAAAAGUAAAUGAGAAAAAUGAAGUAUAUUGUGUAAUACACGACUCUCAACAUAGUGAAUUUCACAAAUAUUGUCAUGGAUAAAAUCACGAGUCUAUAUCAUGUUAUCUUGAUGAUACAUAAAAUUUGAAAUACGUGAUAGUCAACUGAUCUGAUUAUUAAUGUUAUCUUUGAAAGAUUUAAUAUGCUUGAAGCAUAACUCAAAUGAUACAUGCCUGAGAACCAUGUUUUUAGAUCAUUAUAUUAAUUAAAACAAUUUGGACAUAUGUGAUAUAAUCGUCUUAGCGAAUAUUUGUUGAAUGAAUGCUAUGAAAAUGACCUUGUUAACCCAUAUGUUUUCAUAAAGAAAACAAAUAUUAGAUUUGCAAUUAUAGUCGAUGAUUUAAAUUUAAUUGGAACUUUUGAAGAGCUCAACAAAGCCGCUGAUUAUUUGAAAAAUGAAUUUGAGAUGAAAAAUUGGGAAAAAUCAAAUUUUGUUUUAGGUUGCAAAUUAGACAUUUUUCAGAAAAAUUAUUUGUUCAUCAAUCUAUGUAUACAAAAAGAAGUUUUAAAACACAUUUAUAUGGAUAAUGUACAUCCACUGAUAUCACCAUAGUUGAUCGAUCUUUCGAUGUGAAAAAUGAUCAAUUUCGUCCACUUGAAGAUGGAGAAAAGGUUCUUGGUUCAGAAAACUAUACCUUAGUGCAAUUUGAGCAUUAAAUUAUCUUGUAAAUUGCACUCGACUUGACAUAACUUUUUCUUUAGGAUCCGCUUUAGUGGGACAUACAGAUGCAUGUUAUCUCUAUAACCCACAUAAAGCUAAAUCACAAACAGGAUAUAUGUUUACACAUGGAGGAACAGCAAUAUUAUGGUGAUCCGUGAAACAAUCUUUGAUAACAACAUCCUCUAAUCAUUCUGAAAUUAUUGAAAUUCAUGAAGCAAACCAAUAAUGUGUGUGGUUGAGAAACAUGACCCAUCAUAUCCAUACAUCAUGCGAGUUAACUCCAACAAUUUUGUAUGAAGACAAUACAGCUUGUAUUGCACAACUCAAAGGAGGUUAUAUCAAAGGUGACAGGACGAAACAUAUUUCUCCAAAAUUCUAUCAUAUACAUGAGCUUCAAAAGAAUGGUAACAUUGAUAUCCAACAAAUUCUCUCAAGUAGCAAUGUGGCCGAUUUAUUCACAGAAACACUACCAACAUCUACAUUCGAGAAAUUAGUUCAUGAGAUUGAAAUGCGUCGACUCAAAGAUUUUCAGUGAUCAAUAUCAGAAGGAGUAGACUUAGGUUUUAUCCCACUGGAUUUUCUUAGCAAGGUUUUAAUGAGAUAACAUUUAUUUUUAGUACUCCAAAAUAACUGUACUUUUUUCCUUCGUUUUGAUUUUUUUUCCCAUUGGAUUUUUAUCAAAUAAGGUUUUAACGAGACAGAUAUUUUAUAAUAUAUCAUUCAAGAAGGGGUGUUGUAAAAGGUAAGUUUAUUAGAAUUUAGAAGUGAAUGACAAUUAUACUCCUACAACCUUAGAAAUUAUUACUUUUGUAUCCCUGAUUUUGCCCUAUAAAUACAGGAUUUUGGUUCUUAAUAAAAUACACACAAGUCUAUUUACUUUUCUCUGUUAUCUUCUUUUUUCUUCACUUUUAUAACAGUUUCGACUUAUUUUUCAAUUAUAAAUCACAAAUUUUAUAACUCACAAAUUAUUAAAGUAAUUGGCCACAAGUUAUUUUUGGGUCACAAUUUAUUUAAUUAAUUAAUCAUAACUUAUUUAUCGAUCAUAAAUACGCAAAUUAUAGGUCAUAAUUACAAAUUUAAUCAUCAGAUUUUUCAGUCUCAUAUUAUUUAAUUUAUUCAUUCUUUUCACUCAAUAACCCUAUAAUUGGCCACAACCACUCUUCAUCCAACCAAUUCCAUUCUACCACCACCAGCACCACCAAAAAAUCUUGGUAUCAUCUUACCACCACUGCCUCGAAACGCACCACACAUUGAUCACCACCACCAACCACUACAACAGUAUGAUCACAAUACACACAGAUCGGCGUCGUUUCCAUUCUUAUAUCUGCACGCAUACACAUUAAAAAAUUAGAUCUACAAAUUCCCCAAGUCAAAAAUGAUAAUAUUAAUUCUGCAACAAAAAUUCUUAUAGGGAUGGUAAAUGAAUCACUAAUUGAGAAUUCUUCAUAUUCACAUACAUGUAAUCAAUUCUUACCUAAAAUGGCAAAUGGGUCACCAAUUACUUCUAUAAUAUUAAAAAUUCCAGUACCCACUCCAAACAACUUAUCAUAUUAAAAAUUCUUCAACACACGCAAAGACAGCAAUACAUAGAGAUACGCGUAUGUGUAUAGAAGCAAGUGGACGUUUUUUGACGAUUACGUCACUGGCGACGAUAAGUGGGAAUUGUACGAUCCUGACCACGAUGAAUGGAAGCUGUAGAGAGAAAGAGGUAUUUGUAUGUUAAAGAGAGAGUUAAAGAAUCGGUUGUAGAGAGAUAUUGUGCUUGUUUGAUAGGGAUUUUGUUAAUUAAUUUUUUGACCGUUAGAGAUAAAAUGAGUUUUACCUGUGAGAGAAGAAUUAAAAAAUGACAGCUGGAAUAGUGAAAUAACGGUCAAAAAAUUAAUUUUAAUUGGAUUUUAAGCUGUACUAAACAUGCUCAUUAUCUUUUGGAGAGAAAUUAGGAAGACUAAUGUAAUUUAAUAAAUGUAUAUUAAUUAAUUUAAUGAAUUUUAAUUAUCACAAUUUAAAAUUACUUCAUCUUAUUUUUGAAUAGUACACUUUAGAUGUAGGAUUUUGGGUCAUUUUCCCUACACAAAAAGUAGGAUAAGGAUGGAUCCAUGGGCCCUUUACAUUUGGGCCCUCACAUGCCACAACUUACACGGUACACAGGAUUUAAAUAUGAAAACAAAAAGAAAGUUAAAAAUGUCAAUUGUUUUUCUCUCACACCACACUCAAGAAAAUAUAAAAAGGGACUUCACAUUUUGUGAUAAAAAGAACAAAAUUCCAAAUGAAAAAAUCUUUGUCAAUUUCAAUGGAAUAUAUCCGCGAUAAUUACCAAUUUAUGAUACAAAAAUGAAUUAACAAAUAAGGAUAUUUGCACAGAAUCCCAAAUAAAUUGCAUUGUUCGACCAUUCUAACAAAAGAAUAAGGUGCAUCUUUGACAAGUAAGGUCAGAUUUUUGGUGAGCGCAGCGUUCCAAGUAAAUAUAUAUUUUUAAAUAAUGUGUGAUCAAAAAGAAAAAACGUCCCAUAAAAUAAGUGAUAAAAAAUUAUUUUAAGAAAAUCUCCCCAAAACAAAUUAAUUGCAGUUGUGUGCCUAUUACCAAGUCUUUUUCUUGAUGACUUAUCAUGUGAAUCCUUCAUGCAAAAGCCAAAAAUUGGCUCUGCUACUUUAACUAAGAUUAAAAAAGGGAAAUAAAUAUUUAUUGAAGUGGUCCACCAAGUUCUAGUGGCAAGGAAAAGAAAAUCCCGAAUUCUGAGGAUUAUGCCUCUAAGUGUCAAAGUCGACUGCCCAAUUUUGCAGCCUCCAUAUUUGUGAAGAUUUCAAUUCAUGAGUAUGAAAGUGUUUAAUACGUCGGAUUUAAUAUGAAUAAAAUAAAUUAAAUUAAGCCUUUAUUUGAUAAUAUUGUUGAUUCAACAUAAUACAUUUUUCACACAUAUAACCAAUACCAACACAAAAUUGAUCUUAAUUAUAUUGUCUGUGACAAAUAAUUUGUGAAUAAUUUGUUAAGUUAUGGAACCUAAUUAUUAUCAUUGUAUGGAGUUUUUACACGAAUUUUAUAAUUAUCAUAAAAAAAAGAGGUUACAGAAAAUAUUUGUACGAUUUUUCUCUUGAAACUUUUAUUUCACCAUAGUAAAUUGCUCUAACAGCAGAUGAGAAUGUAGUUUCAUAUAGAGGGAAUAUCUAUAAAUCUUGCAUUUUCUUUUGUAUCUUUUUUUUUACUACAAUUUUAUUGCUUUUAAUGAUGUAGAAUUAUGGUUUCUAAUUCUCAACACAACUCGUUAUCUUAGUCCUUCAUGUAAUAUUUCUAAAAAGGAUUGGAGUAUCUCCAAUAGACUCUUUAUUUUUAAAGGGCAUAUUUUAUCAUUUAAAGGAUAUCUAUAAAUCUAGAGAGUAAAAUUUUUGAAACACUCCAACACUCACUUUAUAUUUAACAUUUAAUUUUACUACUCCGAAAAAAUAUUUAUUAUAUUUCUCUAUCUUUUAUUUUAACUAGUUUUUCUCUAGAUUAUUGCAUCAUUUUUCCUAUAUAGAAAAUUAAAAUACUUUGAAUAUAUUUAAUUAUAGAGAGUGAGUUUAGCUCUCCAAAUAUGAGAACCAGACUCAUUCUCUAAAUUAAAAUGUUAAUUUAAAGAAUCUCUUGGAGCAUGAUUUUAAAGAUUUGCUGUUUAAAAUAGAGAGCAUCUCAUGUUUCAAAAAUCUUUUGAAGAUCCUCUUAACAAAUUUGGGUUCAGGUUUUUACUACUUGAGCUGUGUUUGUAUUGGCUUUUUACUGCAAUUAGUAAAUUAAAUUCUAGUAACUAGAGUAACUAGAGUUAAAAACUUGACAUGUAUACUUUAGCCCCCGUUUGGCCCCUUUAAAGCUUUUCAAUUUAAUUUAAUUUUUUUCCGUCCUAUUUUCAAUCACACAAUUUUCAAUAAAAUAAUAUUACACUGAAAUCGAAAAUUUUCAACCACACAAUCUUUAAAAAAAUUACUAUUCUUCCAUUAUAAAUUCAAAUAAUGGAGGACAAACGGGCUCUUAAUUACGUCAUUGAGUUUCAAAUGAAAACUUUUGAAAUACAUAUUAAAUUGCGUACGUCAUUCAAGAUUAUGUGCAUGUCACGAGUGUUUAAUAGUUACAUUUGUAAUUCCUCGUAUACUAUUUCAUCCAUAUCCAAUCAUUUUGACUUUAAAAUAAUUGAUAAAUUUUUAAAGGGUCUUUCUAAUAUGGGCUUGUUUGGACCCGAUUUUUUGACCUAAAAAUUUGACUUUUUUACCAUUAUUUCACUAUUUCAUCCGUCAUAUUUGACUUCUUCUCUCACAGGUGGACCCCACUUUUUUCCUAACGGUCAAAAAAUCAAUUUUCAAAAUCACUCCCAAACAUGCUCUAUAUCUAGUUUAGUAUUGCACCCCACACACACACACACCAUUUUAUUUUUACAUUACAAGCAUCGACUUAUUGACUACAUACUUAAGCUUGCAUGCUAGCUACAAAAUUAACUUAAAUAAAAACAUUAAGGGGGUGUUUGAGCCCCAUUAUUUUUUAAGAAUGUAUUUGGAAUAGUACAUUGAUGAAAAAUAUGUGGUUAAAAAAAGGAAAAGUUUUUGAUAUGCGUGUGUAAUAUUAUUUUGAUAAAGUAUGUGAUUGAAAAGAAUAGAGAGAAAAAUGUAUUUUAGGAAACAUGAGAAUCAAACACCCACCCCACCCCCCUCCAAUUAACACUCAAAAUGACAUUUUUGUUACAACAGCACAUAUUGGCUGCUCGAUUUUUGUUCAAUUGUAAGCCAUACCUACUAUGCAAUAUAGCUACAGGAAUUCUGUUGGUGAUCGAUCUGUAAGACCACAUCGGACCAUUUGAGGAUCCACUUUAAGACAGUCAAAAGAGUUCAUUUGUCAAGAAAGUGAAAGAUAGGUUAGUGCUUAAGGUCGGACAUUGGAACCUAGUGACCCAGAGCCGGUCCUGAGGUGAGGUAGAUGAGGCCUGCGCCUCAGGGCCUCAACUGGUAGGGGGCCUCACUUCGCCAUAACAUUUUUUUUUUUUUUUGGCAAUUAAAUGAAAAAACUGGAAGAAGAAAUAAUUUUCAUCUCCCCACGGUCACUGACAUACUGUGGCGAUGCAUAAUUUACAGGUUCAGAGGGAAGAUAGUGGCCAAUCGCCAUUGUUGCAGGUGAUUGCAGAUGGGAAGCUUGAAGAGGAAGACGAUAAACUUGGGCUAAAUUUUUUUUUUUUUUUGCUUGAGGCUUUUUUUUUUUUUUUUUUUAAAUAGGCCCAUCAAUAUAGCCAUAGAUCCAUGGCCCAUAUAGCCCAUAUGCCUCUUAAGUGAAAUCGUUUCCAACAUAGAAGAUAAUUUGGACAAAACAAACCUAAUUCUCCCUACACUGCGCAGCCCAACGCCGAGUCGCUGAGUGAAUUGGUUGUAACCCGCUUGUUGCCGGCGAGUCGCCGAUGUCGACCUCAGCCCUUCAGUCUUCACCACUACCUUCUGCUACCAUGUGAGCCUUUCUUCUUCUUGUUUGUUUUCUUGUCUUUCUUUUUAUGUUUUGUUUUUGUUUAUGUUGUUUUUUAUUUUCAUCAUUACGAAAUUAAAAUAAAUAUGUGCAUAAUCAAGAUUGAAGAUGCUUUGAUAAAUCUGAUGAUAAUGAUUAAUGGGGAGAAGCAUAAAUAAUUGAUAAUGGGGAGAAGCAUAAAUAAUUAUUCAGAGAAAAUUGACGUCAAAUCAUUCUGGAAGAGUUAUCUUCUGUGAAUAGAGAUGUGUCUUCAUUACUCAAUUUCCUGUUACUUCAUGCAUUUUGUCAAAUUCUUAUGGCCGAAUGUUACUAGCAGGUAGUUCCUGCCUGGUUGAGCUGCUUACCUAUAAAAGGUGAUCUUAUUGAAGCAAAAGUUGUUCAUGAGCAGCUGUGCACAAUGGUCGAGAGGUAGACAAUGGAGAUGGCUCUAAUUUGGCAUUGUUGGAAACCAAACUUGUUGCUAAAGACCUUCAUUUCUGUAUAUUGAUCUGUUUUCCUCUUAUAGGUCCGACAGGGAACUUCUGGGUCCCAACAAUCAAUAUCUCCCCAAAAUAGUCGCAGUAUUUGCUAAGGUUAGUUCUCACUAUAUGAUAAGUGAAUAACUUAAUGUGCAUUUUAUGUUCUGUUAUGAAAUUCCGAAUAGAGUAUUACAAUCUAAUUAGCCUGCACUUGACUAUGAUCUUUAGACAUUUAUAUACAUGAAUAUGCUCUGAACCUGUGAUCAUUACAUUUUUUUUUGUCUCGUGUAUUUAGAGAGAGAGAGAGAGAGAGAGAGAGAGAGAGAAAUGUGUUGACUAUAAACUUUUUCUUCUGCUAUAGGUCCUACGUGUAAUUACAUAAUUUUUGCUCAAAUCCUAUUUCUCAGGUGAGCAAUGGCUUUUGCUUGCUUAUUUAUAAACUAUUAAAUAUAUAGGAAAUGUUUGAAGUCUUGUCGGCUUAUAUGAUUGCAUUGUAGUAUUGCACCCUUGUCGGGUUAUAUUGACUUUUGUUAGAUUUAAUCGAAUGAUCAAUUGCAUAGACGCACGUAGUCAUAUACCAUGGUGCCUCCUAAAUAUGAGUCUAGAACUCAAAAAAUGAAAAAGGAAACGCAUAAUACAAAUUUUUUUUCCUAAGGAGGGGGACUUAAUUUAUAAAGUUCGCCUCAGGGCCCCGACAGCACAGGACCGGCCUUGGAACCUACCCUCGCAGGCCGGCUAACUGGAGGUUUCAUAAGGAAACAUCAUCAUGAUUAAAUGAGAGACGUUCUCCACGACAUCAACACCACCUUUUGUGACCAAUCAAUAGCGAAGGCGUGUCCUCUAUGAUGUCAAUAUUGCUGUCACCUCCAAUCAAGGAAAAGCAACAAAGACCAAGGUAGCAGGUUAUGACUAAGGCGUCAUGAUGAGCCAUUGCAGUGACUUAUUAAGAAAUAUGUAGGUCUUACUAGCUAAGCAUUGGUAGAACGUGACUACUUGAAGAUUGGGACGAUAACUAAAUAAUACAAUUGUGGCUAAAUCAGAAUAGAUUGUAUCACUUAUUAUUCUACCGUUGAGUCAUUUAGUGGUGAGUUAUGCCGAACUCCCCAGCCAAUGAAAAACCUCCAAACAGGGCAGAAUCACGCAUCACUAGGUCGGACAUUGUAGCUUGAAAAGGCCGGAAUAGUAAACCCUAAUUUGUGGCCUAUGCAAGGAAGAAAAGAUCGAACGAAAUGGACCAAGCUGAUUAAAUUCUCUAUAAUACUCAACUAAGCAAAUUUCCAGUAUAUAUACACACAAGCUUUUUCUGUCCACCAAUAAAAUUAUUACUUUGUUUAAAUUUCUUUAAGUUGAUCUUACUACAUCAUUUUUAAUCAUCAACAAAUCGUAACAAUAAUAUCCUCUAGUAUCUGAUAGCAUUAAACCAGUGAUUAACCACAAAUAUUAAUCCAUUAAAUUCCAUAUAAUUACAGUACUGUACAAUGACACUACUAAUCUAAAUUAUGCUAUAUAUCCAACAAGCUAGUCCACCAGUAAUUAUAUAUAACCCCAUAUGUAAACCAACAGACCAAAGAAAAUAAAAUUAAAACCAGUAAAUUCAAAGGUGUUCAAAAGGCUUUUUGAUAAAUAUCACGAAGUUUCUUCCAUGAUUCUUCUCUCUGCAUCUUCAACUGAUUAUGGAAGUCUCCAAUAAAUGUCUCAGCUUUAUGAUAUAAUUCCUGCUCACUAAGCUCCCCAGUCUCCUCUCCAUUGUCAUCAUCGUUGUGUUCUUCAGUGCAAUCUUCUUCGGCAGCUCCAAUAAAAAACAGGCUUGGAGUCGAAGGAGAUUUGUCUAAAACGUUUUGUACCUUCACCGUAUCAGCAAUUUUCUCUGAUGAUGAUUUUUCGAAAACCUUAACCGGUUUGUUCGUAGAAUGAUCUAGACUGCUAAUUCCAUUGUUUGAGAUGGUGGUCCACGUUUCAUUAUCGGGAUAAACCUCUGAUAUUGAUUUCUGUGCAGGUUUCUUGUUUUCUGGGGCUUCAAGGAAAAAAGAAGCAAGCCCAGAUUCUGCUCCAACUGCGAAGAUGAGAAUGUUGACGAUGAGGUAGAGAUAUUUAGGUCUGAACGAUGUGGAUAUAAGUGGUGCUAUAAUGCACAGAGCUGAUAUCAGAAAAAGCUUCAGAAUCUGGGAUUUCUUCAUCUUCUCCAUGGUUUUCGAGAGAGGCCUGCGUGUGUAUGAGAGAAAGAAGUGAUUUCUAUGGUUUGAUGGGAUUUUUGUGCAUGUGAGUGGGGGCCUAUUUGCACUCGCACACAUAUAUAAAGAGGUUUUACAACACAUAAUUGGUCGUGUAAAGAUUGAUAGGGCCAUCGUAUGUUUGGAAAAACAAAUAGGGAAUUUACAAAAAUGUCCAAUUUCAUGCUUGUCAAUUAAAAGUGUCUAGCCCUCAUAAUUCCAGUAAAAAUGACCAAAUUUGGUACCAAAUUGUCUAUUAGAUUCUUAAUGAUAAAUAUGAAUGUGUUUUUUUUUUUUUUUCAAAUGAUCAUCUAAAAGCAAACAUUGUUUGCAACUCCUCGAAACAAGUAAUACUAUUGUGAAGAAAACAAUAUCGAAAAGGUACUUCUUAAAAAGAACAAGAAUGUUGUCAAAUUCCAAUUGAGCAUGGGCGGACCCACAUAGGGUCAUGUGGGGUCAAAUGACCCCACAGUUUUUUGAUUUUUUUUUUUUUUUUUUUUUGGUGCUGAAAACUUAAUUUUUUGUUUUUUUUUUGUGCUGAAAACUUAAUUUUCUGUCUCAAAAAGUCCAAAUUCUAAAUCUAUAUCCAUAUCACAUGGUCCAUAUCCAUUAUUUAGUCCAUAAAUAUAUCAUAUGAUCCAACGAUUUCUUCCCAAAGUGCACAUAUCGAAUAUGAGCAGUAAACAACCGAUUUUUUUUUUUCAUGAUACGUUGUUAAAAAAAAAAAUUUUUUGACCCCACAGUUCAAAUGGUCUGGGUCCGCCCCUGCAAUUGAGUUAACCAACUAUAACGUACAUUUACUGAAUGUUGUGAUACAUCCCUUUUAUCAACACAUAAUUAAUGAAUGUUGUUAUUUACACGUUGUAAAAGGCUUGCAUAUUUUGUUAGAGAUUUGUUUUCAGGAUAUCUCUUUAUUAUUUAAUUUUUAUUUUUUUUUUUAUUUUUUUUUUUAAUUUUUGUGGGGAUGGUCGAAGAAGCUGCACUAACAUGCCCAAUUGUCAAGCUUAUAAAAUAGGUGCUCGAAUUUUUAACUUUGACGUUAGUAUCUUAAAUAAUUUGUCCAUCAACUGGAGACGGUGUAGAGAGAAUCUAAUACAUUAUGAUCUAGUGAGAUAGCGUGGCCACAUGUUAUUGGAUGUAUGAUUGUCAAUUUUUUCAAUAACAAAAAAAAGAAAAAGUGAAAAAGUGCCAACAAAAUAUCUCCCAAUAGCUAGAAAUUAUGAUGUUAUUAUUCAGUUUAUUUCCAAUGGGUUGACGUUUUGAGAUAGAAACUCAAUUCUCAAUAAAUAAUAUCGAGUCAUAUCUUAAGUUUAGCCGUGUAGAUACACAAGGUAAAUCCCCUAGAUAUGAAAAUGUGAGCUCCAAUUAAUUGCAAUUUAGCUUUAAAGGAUACAUAAAAUCGCAACUCAAGAUUCUCUUUUGUGAGUUGCAUGAUUCAUAAUAUCUCUCUGCACGUGUCCAACAAAAUCACGCUAAUCUUCGAAAACUAUAAAGAUAUGCAGCUCAAGCAAUCUACUUGAGGAUAUCAUUCAAAUAAAUAUCGCUCAAAGAUAUGAAUUAUACAAAAAGAUUUAAGAUGAAGAUAUGAACCGAAAUCUUUAUCAAUAUAUAUGUCCCAACUAAUAAAAAUUGUCAUAAGAUUUUGGAUUAUGAUCAAGUUAUAAUAGGAGACAAGUAAUAUGCCAAAAAAAAAAAAAGAAAAAAAGAAUUGAAUUGAGGAAUAAAAGAUAAGGUCGGUCGAAGGAAUAUGAUUCUCAUCUCUUUUACUAUAUUCUUUAGAAGGCCAUUUUAUAUUCUCUCUUGCUUGCUUUUGAGAACUCACUUUUAUGGGCAAUUGAAGCUGUGGAACCAACAAAUGGGCUCUUUGGGAAUUGUGUUCUGGGCCCCACAGUAGAAUAAAAGUUUCUAAGAAUCAAUUCAACAAAAUCCUAAUUUGCUUCAGUGCUCAUAUGGUCCAUUCCAUCAUACUAUGUACCGAUGGAGGGUUCACAAAACCCCUUCAGAGAAGACACAAAAAGGGAGUAGAUUUUUUCAUUUUUUUUUCCUUUUUUUGCACUAUUUUAUUCAUACGAGGUUCAUCUUCGUGUGAGAUUUCUGUAUUGUUUCGAUGAAAAAUGCAUUUCUCUUUCUUUUUUUUUAUCUACAUUUUUAUGAUCAAGUAAUAAAUGUGCGUAUAUACCCAAUUCAACAAGUCCUUGUUUGGUACAGAUUAUUUAAAAUUUAUUUUUAAUCACAUAUUCUUUUAAUAAAAUAAUUUUGCAUUUAGACCCAUAAUUUUUUCAUACUUUUAAUUAUACAUUCCCCCUUUCCCCCCCUCCGCCCCAAAAAAAAAAAAAAAAAACUUUUCACAAAAUUUAUUAUAAAAAAUCUGCAUCAAAUAUGUCUUAAACAAUAUUGAUCAAUAAUUUCGAUUUAUUCUAGAUAAAUUAUACAGAAAGAAUUUGGAAAAAGAAAGAUCCGCAUAAAUUAAAUGGAAUUUGCAAAAAGACAGAAGAGGAAACAGAGGUUUUCAGCCGGACGCGUGGAAUUGACUAUUAAUAAAGCGGUUGUACGUACUUCUUUUACCUAAAAUAUCCAAGGGUUGAGCUACAGUGCAUGUAUGGAUGACCGUAGGAUUGACACAAUACACACAUAAGGGGUUGGGAUUAUUUUAUUCAUGGAAGGCUCACGCCGGGACAUUUGAAGGCGCGAUCACUUGCAUUUUAUAUUCUCUCUUGCUUGCUUUUGAGAACUCACUUUUAUGGGCAAUUGAAGCUGUGGAACCAACAAAUGGGCUCUUUGGGAAUUGUGUUCUGGGCCCCACAGUAGAAUAAAAGUUUCUAAGAAUCAAUUCAACAAAAUCCUAAUUUGCUUCAGUGCUCAUAUGGUCCAUUCCAUCAUACUAUGUACCGAUGGAGGGUUCACAAAACCCCUUCAGAGAAGACACAAAAAGGGAGUAGAUUUUUUCAUUUUUUUUUCCUUUUUUUGCACUAUUUUAUUCAUACGAGGUUCAUCUUCGUGUGAGAUUUCUGUAUUGUUUCGAUGAAAAAUGCAUUUCUCUUUCUUUUUUUUUAUCUACAUUUUUAUGAUCAAGUAAUAAAUGUGCGUAUAUACCCAAUUCAACAAGUCCUUGUUUGGUACAGAUUAUUUAAAAUUUAUUUUUAAUCACAUAUUCUUUUAAUAAAAUAAUUUUGCAUUUAGACCCAUAAUUUUUUCAUACUUUUAAUUAUACAUUCCCCCUUUCCCCCCCUCCGCCCCAAAAAAAAAAAAAAAAAACUUUUCACAAAAUUUAUUAUAAAAAAUCUGCAUCAAAUAUGUCUUAAACAAUAUUGAUCAAUAAUUUCGAUUUAUUCUAGAUAAAUUAUACAGAAAGAAUUUGGAAAAAGAAAGAUCCGCAUAAAUUAAAUGGAAUUUGCAAAAAGACAGAAGAGGAAACAGAGGUUUUCAGCCGGACGCGUGGAAUUGACUAUUAAUAAAGCGGUUGUACGUACUUCUUUUACCUAAAAUAUCCAAGGGUUGAGCUACAGUGCAUGUAUGGAUGACCGUAGGAUUGACACAAUACACACAUAAGGGGUUGGGAUUAUUUUAUUCAUGGAAGGCUCACGCCGGGACAUUUGAAGGCGCGAUCACUUGCGAGAAUGGGUCGUUUGGCUUAACUUAAUAUCCAAUUUCGUUACAAUAGUAAUUCAAGGCUAAACUUAGUUAGUCCAAGUUGGACAUCCAUUUUAAUGAUUAUUAUUAUUUUUAUUAUUUUUUAUUUUUAUUUUUUUUGAAAAAACGAGUUUUGAAAUAGUAAUUUUUUUAGAGAUUGUGUGGUUAUAAUGUAGUAAAAGUUUUGAAUUUAUGUGCAAAUUACUUUUAUUGUGUAAAUGUAUAGUUAAAAAUAAAUUUAAGAAAAAAGAUUUUUUAUUGAAUGAAUUUCAAAACGUGGCUUAGUUUUGAGCCAUUGCUCUUCUAGUUCCAAUUCCACUUUACACUUAAAGCAGGAUUUGUGAGUAAUAAAACAAUAUUAAUAAAGAAAAAAACAAUUAAAAUUUUAUCGUUAGACAAUCAGCUUAUAUGUUGUGUCCAAAAAUACUCAAAACACUCGAUUUCGGUUUUAUCUUAACUUAAAAUUAAGAGGUUAUUCAACAAAGUUUUUUAUAAAUGAUGUAGUACAACUACAAUAGGAUUCCUACUACAAUUAUAUUUUAUAUUUUCUAAGAGUUUAUUUUCUUGUGUUAGGACUUUUAUUUUAUUGAGAGUUUUAAUUAGAAUAAAGUGAUAUUAGUUCACUAGUUUCCUUAUUUCAAUUUUCUAGUACUGUUAAGAAUAGGAAUAAUCUGACUAUAAAUAUAGAAGCUAUUGUACAAUUUUCAAUCAAUUAUUCAUUAUUCAAUCAAUAAAGCAAAUUAUUCCUAUAUCGUUUCAUAUUUAUUUCAUUAUAAUUCUAUUACAAGAAUUCAAACACGCUUCCGCACCAAAAUUGGUAUUAGAGCAAGGAAUUCACCUUAAUCCGAUGGCUGACGAAGGUACUGGGGGUAGUCAGACCGUCGAUGAUGAACGGAGGCUCAACAAACUCGAACAACGAAUCGAGGGGAUCGACGAGGCUCUUCGCAAUCUCACGCAGUUGGUGACUGCGUUAACUGUGAAGUACAGACUCGAACCCAAGGAGAAACAAUCAAAUUGGACAAAAAUCUGACAACAAGGAGAAGAAUCAGAUUACAGCGAGGAAGAAGGUGUUUACCUGGAUGCAAGAAAUCAAAGGGCUGCAGUAGGCAUGGAUUCGCACUCAGUAGUCCACCUUCACGAUGAACCAGGCUUGGGUAAACGACGCCAACCCCAUGUUAAUAACCCACGCCGGCAGCAAGGAGGACCAGUGAUAGGCAGAAGAGGCGCAAGGCGUGAUGGACUAGGGUCCGAUGGGCGUGGCGUGCGUAGAAAUACGGUUGCAGAUCGUUACUUCCACGAAGCGAUCCCCGUACCCUUACAGGUUUAUGAAAGGCGGAACAGAAGGCCCCUUGACCGGAGUGAUGACGGCGAACACCAUCAAGAAGUUUUGGGCGAAGGAGAGGGAGAGUUUGCUGGAACCGGUGGACAACCUCGUCAAACUGGGCGCAAUGUUGGAAACCAGCGUGACGGGUUGGAUGAUUAUGGAAGAGGAAUCAAUUUUGACCAAGCCAACAAUUUUGACCAAGGCAUUAAUUUUGACCAUCAAUUUAAUUUUGACCGGAGAGGUAAUUUUGAUCGAGGACUUAAUUUUGUUCGGCAACCAAGAGAUAGGGGUCUUCAACAAAGACGGCCACGUGGGUUCGAUUAUUCAUUCGAAGAAGAAGAAAAUUUUCGACCAAGGGCUAACAAUAGAGGUCCCAAUGUUCAAGAAUUUAAGAUGAAGAUGGACUUGCCAAGUUUUGACGGUCGAUUAAAUAUUGAAGAUUUUUUGGAUUGGAUCCACAUUGUUGAAAAUUUUUUCGACUAUUUAAAUAUUUCGGAACAAAGUCAAGUUAAACUAGCAGCGUACAAAUUAAAAGGUGGAGCUUCUGCAUGGUGGGAACAAUUACAAUUUAAUCGUCAAAGACAAGGAAAGCAACGUGUGCAAACCUGGCCCAAGAUGAAACGCUUGUUGCAAUGGCGAUUCCUUCCUCCGGAUUAUGAACAAUUUUUGUACCAGCAGUAUCAGAAUUGUCGACAGAAUAACAGGACAGUAAAUGAAUAUACAGAGGAUUCUAUCGAUUAAAUGCUCGAGUUAAUUUGUUUGAAACUGAAGCUCAAUUAAUUGCUCGUUAUAUAGGAGGCUUGAAAUUAUUCAUUCAAGAUCGACUGGCCCUUCAAGAGAUUUGGACCAUGACAGAUGCAGUCAAUUUAGCAAUGAAAGUGGAAAAUCAGAUGAAUAGAACUACAGCCCGUACUCAAGGAAAUUUUCGACGACCAAUUCAAGAAACUUAUACUACUUCAAAGGGUGCAACAACCUCAAAUAACAACAACAAUAACCACAAGGAUGCUAGUCCAGUCCAAAAUUCAACACAAAAUCAAAGAGGAACUUCUGCUCCUGUUCGAUCUAACACCUAAGGCAGAAAUCACAUACAGCCACGAGCCAAUAAUGACCCUUAUGCACGUCCUAAUCUGGGAAAGUGCUUCCGGUGCAAUCAACCAAGUCAUCUUUCAAAUAGCUGUCCAAACAGACGAUCUAUUAACUUUGUAGAAGAAGACGACAGUGGGGGAAGAGCAAAAUCUUGAAGACAAUGAUUAUAAAGGUGGUGAUGUUGUAGAUGCAGAUACAGGGGAAGAAUUGGCGUGCAUUAUCCAACGCCUUUUGCUUGCUCCAAAAAGGUCAGAUACCUCGCAACGACACAAGAUCUUCAGGACUCGAUGCACUGUUCGUAAUAAGGUAUGCAAUGUGAUCAUUGACAGUGGUAGCAGUGAGAAUGUCUUUUCGAAAGCAGUGGUAAAGGCGAGAGACACCCUUCGCCAUACAAGAUUGCAUGGAUUAAAAGGGGCUUGGAAGUUCAAGUUUUAGAGAUUUGUAAGGUUCCUUUGUCAAUUGGAAAAUAUUACAAAGAUGAAAUUAUAUGUGAUGUGGCGGAUAUGGAUGCUUGUCACAUUUUAUUGGGUCGUCCAUGGCACUAUGAUGUUGAUGCCACUUAUAAGGGACGAGAUAAUACUUUCAUAUUUUGGUGGUUAAAUAGGAAGAUCGUUUUGGUACCACAAUCUCAACCUGUGGAAACCAAUCCUGCCAUCAAGGAAGAGAAACCACUUUUUACCAACAUCUCAGGCCCAUAAUUCUUGGAACAAGUAAAAGAGCCUCACACAGUAUUGGCCUUGGUUGUUAAAGGUCCAUCAGAAGUAACUAUACAGAUUCCUACCAAAGUUCAAAAAGUACUUGCUGAUUUUGCCAAAAUAGCACCCGACAAGUUACCAAACGAGUUGCCCCCUAUGCGAAAUAUCCAACAUCAUAUUGAUUUGGCACCUGGAGCUAGUUUACCUAACUUGCCACAUUAUCGCAUGAGCCUAGUAGAACACGAAGAGUUGCAGCGACAGGUUAAUGAAUUACUUGAUAAGGGGUUAAUCCGCCAAAGUAUGAGUCAUUGUGCAAUUCCUGUUUUACUCAUUCCAAAGAAGGAUGGCAGUUAGCGAAUGUGAAUAGACAGUCGUGCCAUUAAUAAAAUAACAAUCAAGUAUCGCUUUCCCAUCCUGCGUCUCAAUGAUAUGCUCGAUAGGUUGGAAGGUGCAGUGAUAUUUACCAAGCUUGAUUUAAGGAGUGGCUGUCAUCAGAUCCGAAUACGCCCUGACGAUGAGUGGAAAACAACUUUUAAAAUAAAAGAUGGUCUCUACGAGUGGUUAGUGAUGCCAUUUGGGCUAUCGAACGCACCGAGCACAUUUAUGCGAUUGAUGAACCAAGUUCUUCACCCAUUUGUGGGAAAAUUUGUGGUGGUUUAUUUUGAUGACAUUCUUAUUUACAGCAAAAAUGAAGAUGAGCACCUAGCACAUCUUACAGAAGUUUUUUCAGCCCUUCAGGAAAAUAAAUUGUAUAUUAAUCUCAAAAAGUGCAGCUUUAUGACCGACCAACUUUUAUUUCUUAGUUUUAUGGUGGGAAAAGAUGGUAUUCAAGUUGAUGAGACAAAGAUGAAAGCAAUACGCGAGUGACCAGCUCCUAAAACGUGCGAGAAGUACAGAGCUUUCAUGGAUUAGCAACUUUUUAUAGGUGCUUCAUUCGAGGGUUCAGUACAAUUAUGGCACAUAUCACCGAUUGCCUAAAAAGGGCAAAUUCCAGUGGGACAAAGAACAGGAAGUUAGUUUUGAGACAAUAAAAAACAAGUUAUGCACUACACCGGUGUUGGCACUACCUAGCUUCGAGAAAAUAUUUGAAGUUGAGUGUGAUGCUUCAGUUAUGGGCAUUGGAGCAGUGUUGUCCCAAGAAGGCCGUCCAAUUGAAUUUCUCAGUGAAAAGGUUAGUGAACCACGACAAAAGUGGACUACUUAUGAAUUGGAAUUUUAUGUCGUUAUUUGAACAUUAAAGCAUUGGGAACAUUACUUGGUUUAACGAGAAUUUGUGUUGUUUACGGAUCAUCAAGCUUUGAAGUUUAUUAAUUCUCAAAAAAUAAUGAAUCGAAUGCACGCUCGAUGGAUGACCUUUUUGCAGAAAUUUACUUUUGUUAUAAAACAUAAAUCUGGCCAGAAUAAAGUAGCAGACGCAUUAAGUCGACGUGCAUCUCUUUUAGCUACAAUUAGUACGGAAGUAGUUGGGUUCGAUUGUUUAAAGGAACUAUAUGCAACUGAUGAGGAUUUUGGAGAUAUAUGGGCUCGAUGCAAUGAUAAGGAAUUUAUACCCGAUUACCUUCUUCAGGAAGGAUUCUUGUUUAAGGGAACGCAAUUAUGCAUUCCUCGUUCUUCCUUGCGUGAGCACUUGAUUCGAGAACUACAUGCAGGCGGUUUAGGCGAACAUGUUGGUCGAGAUAAGACAAUCAGCUUUGUUGAAGAGAGAUUUUAUUGGCCCCAGCUCAAAAGAAAUAUUGGUCGUUUUGUCCAACGUUGCCCAAUUUGUUAGAAAGCUAAUGGACAAGCUCAAAAUAUUGGCCUUUAUACCCCUUUGCCUAUUCCAGAUACAAUAUGGCAAGAUCUUACAAUGGAUUUUGUUUUCGGUCUCCCACAAACUCAACGAGAAGUUGAUUCUGUUUUGGUCGUAAUUGAUCGAUUUUCAAAAAUGGCUCACUUCAUUCCUUGUAAGAAAACAGCAGAUGCUUCUUACGUGGCUAAUUUAUUUUUUCGCGAGAUCGUUCGCCUACAUGGUAUCCCUCGUUCUAUAACUUCUGGUAGAGAUGUAAAGUUUCUAAGUCACUUUUGGAGGACAUUGUGAAAAAUAUUUGACACUUCUUUGAAGUUUAGUAGCACAAAUCAUCCCCAAACAGAUGGUCAAACAGAAGUGGCUAAUCGAACUCUUGGCAAUAUGAUUCGAGCAGUUAGUGGAGAUAAACCAAACAAUGGGAUGCUGCCCUUCCACAAAUUGAGUUUGCUUUUAACAGUAUGCCUAAUCAAUCCACUAAGAAGACUCCCUUUGAAGUCGUUUACACUAAUGUUCCAAGGCAUACAGUAGAUUUGAUUCGACUUCCUAAUGUCAAUCCUAAUGCAGAAGAGUUUGCUGAACGUAUUCAAAGAAUUCAUCACAAGGUAAAACAAAAUUUAGAAGAUGCAAAUAUUCGUUACAAGGUUGCUGUUGACCAACACAGGCGUCUUAAGCUAUUCAACAAAGGUGAUUUAGUGAUGGUUCAUCUCAGAAAAAAUCGUUUUCCUGUUGGCACUUACAAUAAACUUAAAGAUAAGAAGACUGAUCCUUUUCACAUUCUUCAAAAAAUUGGCGUUAAUGCUUAUAAAGUUGAUCUUCCAGCAGAUAUGAACAUUUCCAAUACUUUUAAUGUUGCUGAUAUUUAUGAAUACUUUCCUCCAGAUGAAUUUUCCUUGCAAACACAAAACUCGAGGGCGGGUUUUCUUUCAAGUGGAGGGGAUUGAUGUAGUACAACUACAAUAUGAUUCCUACUACAAUUAUAUUUUAUAUUUUCUAAGAGUUUAUUUUCUUGUGUUAGGGCUUUUAUUUUCUUGAGAGUUUUAAUUAGAAUAAAGUUUUAUUAGUUCACUAGUUUCCUUAUUUCAAUUUCCUAGUACUAUUAGGAAUAGGAACAAUCUGCCUAUAUAUAUAGAAGCUAUUGUACAAUUUUCAAUCAAUUACUCAUUAUUCAAUCAAUAAAGCAAAUUAUUCCUAUAUCGUUUCAUAUUUCUUUCAUUAUAAUUCUUAUUACAAGAAUUCAAACACGCUUCCGCACCAAUAAAAGUUUUUAACAAAUUUUAAUAAAAAAUUAUGAAUAUAUAAUUAUAAAGUUAAUAAAUUUGUAAAUCUUAUAAAAGUGUGAUUAUAAUUGAAAUUUGAUCCUUUAAAAAAUUGAGUAACAAUAGGAUAUCCAAGCUAGGCCACCUAAAUCAGAGCAUCUGAUGGGACCUCCCCUCUUCUCUUAAAAAGUGAAUCAUCACAGCUUAUAAAGCCAAGCGAUCCGUGAGGAUGAACGUGCACUCACGUGGAUGUGUGGGUUCCGCGUGAAUAAAAUAAUGUCAGACCUUUAUGUGUGUGUAUACGGUCAUUCCCAAUGUUAAACCUGAUAUUCAAACCAAAGUUUGUACAAUGUGUACGCUUCAAAUCUGCAAAUUGAAGUUAAUCCAUGAUGUUGUUUUAGGGUUAAACUGCUUGGACAUGGGCUUGUCCCCAUAGCAUUGCCCGUUGUUUUAACACUUUUUGACUUCUCGAUUUUGGCUUUGAUUGAAUGCACCAUUUAGCCCUUGCUUGACCCCAUUUUUAAUCAUAAAAAUACAUUUUUUAUUAAUGUAAUGAUGAAAAAUAUAUAGCUAAAAAAUAAAUUAAAAAAAUUUUCUUGUAAUAUUAUUUUAUUGAAAAAUGUGUAGUUAAAAUGAUGUCAAAACACUAUUCAAAAAUAUAUUUUUCCAAAAAUUGAGAAUGAAACAAGGGCAUACUUCAGAUGAGAUGGUUUGUGACCCCUUAUGUUGAAGUGCUGCAUUCUUAAUGCCUGUUUGGUGUAGGUUUUUGAAAAUAAAUUUUUGACUAAUGUAAUUUAAAAUUAAAGAAAAAAAAUUAGUGAAUGCAAAAUUAUUUUACUGGUCAUGGAGUUAAAAACGACUUCAAAAGGUGAAAUUUAAAGAAUUCGUACCAAACAGUCUCUUAGUCUCAACAAACGGAAUUGCCUCUGAAAGUUCACUUUAAUUUGUUGAAAAAACCUUUAUUGCCAAUUCCUUAGGAAAUUUGCAGCUGCAGUUUUUUAAUAUUUGUCCUUGGAGCACUUGAGUCCCCUAUCAAAUUUUCACCUUAAAGUUCCCAAAAUUUCAAUUUAUUGCUGGUAUAAUUUUCAUUUCCACUGCACAUUUUCACGUCCUACAACAAUCACUUUUGUAAUUUACAUAUUGCCAAUUUUGCCCUCAAAAUUCAUACAAAUUUUAAUUGUUAGCAUAAAGCUGUAGGGUAAUUUUGUAUUGAUCAACUCCAACUAACAAGUCAUGAUUUGUGAAACUUGACCUCCAAGCGAUAUGCCAAUCUCAAUCACUGGUUAUUAAUGUUCAUAUGUCCCAAAUUAAAUGAAUUAAAAUAAAAUUAAGUUAAAAAAAAAAAAAAAAAAAAAUAUGCCAACCAUAUGUCCCAAAUUAAAUGAAUUAAAAUAAAAUUAAGUUUAAAUAAAAAAAAAAGACUCUAAAUUACAUGCAUCUCAAGAAGUCGGUGCAAGGGCAUUACUAGAAGAUACCAAUAAUAUCCGAAUAUGGUUAAGACCUAACAUGAACAGAAGAAUACCAUUAUGUAGCUUAAGACAAAAUUUAAUUGAGUCAUUUCAUAUGAUAAAAACCAUAGUGCAACUUGUCAAAUAUCAUGUAAGAUAUAAGCAUGCCAAAGAGGUAAAGAUAUUUGAAUACAAUUUGGCAAAUACAGACAGACUGGCAUAAAUUUUUCUAUUUCUCCCAACUCAACUAAAUUCCUCUGCCAACUAACGAUUCUUGAGCAUUUGAUGUUGAAGUUGCAUGAACUUCAGCUGUUGAAAUUAGCUUAUGGGCCAUUGAGGAUUUCUUUUUAAUUAUUAUGAGAAAUACACAAAAGACCAUAUGUGAAGCCCUUUAAGAAAUAAAAAGUACUCUUCAAGACUUCAAUACUGUUUUCAAGUUAAUGCAGCUUCAACUUCAAUUUCAUAAAAACUGUAAUAGAAAUAGAAAAGAGAGAGAAAUGAAUCACAUGCAUUUCUCCACCAUGCGCGACGGAUCAGCCCAUCCUAUUAAAAAGGCUUUUAAACAGAAGUCCAAAAAGAAACAUGCAUGGCAAUGGCCAUGUCCCUGUUACCAAGUCCAAUCUCCUGCCUCGUGCAUCCAUGUGAUCUAUAACUGAAAAUUCUGUAAAAAAUUAAUUUUAACUUCACAGUUCUAUGAUUGCACUACCUUCAAAGAGUAAAAUGAAUUUUAACUGGUACCGAACCCAAUUCUUAAAUGGUCUGAAACAACAAAAUCAACCAGCAAAAGUCAGUCAGGCAACAUUCGACUAACGAAGACACUAAUGCCCAUGCAGUGUUUGGGAACUGUUUCAGAAUCUACUUAUACAGAGAUGGAGGACUUUAUCGACAGAAAAUUCAUGUUUAAUUCUUUCGGGAGACUAUAUGCAAUUGUGUUGCCUUCAUCAAAAAGCUAAGAAGCUUGUAACAUUUUGGCAUAUGAAGUACCAAUCUUUAAAUAGAGCUUCCCAUUAGAAUUGCUACCACACAUCCCAGCAAAGCACCAGCAGCAACCUGCAGUUUAUUAGUCAAACUAUUAUCAGGCAACAAACUGGGUAAAGGGAAGAAAGAUAUAUAAGUUUCAAUUAAACUCUACCAUCAAUUAGUUGGCAAUUCAUGUCUCAACGCAUCUAAAUAAUACCUGAGGCGCCAAUGAAAACGCCACCUAACAAGACCAGAGAGAGAGAGGAGAGAGGAGAUUCACAGGGAGAAGGGGGGUGUGGUUGCUUUGAGUCUUUGACCACAGAAAGUAAACUUAUAUCUAGUGCGCAAUUCACCUUAGACAUGAGGUUAUUGAGCAUUUGACCUAUAAAACUACACACCAGAUUUACUUUACCUGACCUCAUGAAAAAGGCAGAUGGUAUUGUGUGUAGGAGACUGGGAGUUAAUUCACCAAUUGGAUAACAAGUGAAUAAGCUUGAAUAUGGACAACAUAGUGACUAGAGCACAUGGAGAGUUCAACGUUACUGACAACCUCUACAGUUAGUAGACCAAAUCCAGCUAGCUAAGGCAUGCAUCCAAUGCUCCAGUCUCAUAGAUUCUCUCAAGCCAGGACACUUCAUACUCUCAGUGAUCACUUCAAUAGUGACAGAUGAUUUGCAUGUUAAGUCAGUCCAGUACCUCUCUAUUAACAAGAAAAUGCACAUUUGUAACCUUUUAUUCUCUUCAUCUCCAUCUAUACCGAAUGGAAAUGGGACUUUACAAGACAAAAGUUGUAUGGGAAAAAAAAGAUCAUAGAGCUCUACUCAAAGACAUGGAGACAGGUUACCCAGAAUCCUUCACCAGGGCAGCCAAUAUUCUGUCCAUCUCCUGCCUAUUAUCAUACUAUCUAUCUAUAUAUUCAAACAUAUUCUAGACCAAGUACACUAUUCCGACGAAGCGCCCAACUCUAUUUAUUUGCUAAAUCUAUUUGUUCACGUCAAUGGAAAAAAAGGAAGAACCAUCUAAAACUCAAAAAGUUCUAAUUACAUGAUUUCUUAUGAUGUUAGUCCGUACCAGUAUCCACAAAAGUAAUUAACUUACAAAAAUGAUACGGGAUAUAUUGGCAAAAUUGAUGUGAACUAACGUAGCAAUAAUAGCUAUGAAACCCACAAAAGAUUUAAUCAACACAAGAAAGCCAAGAAAUCAAAGUUUAGAAUUUGAUUCAAAAAUAUUGAACCAAAGAACCAACAGAAUCGCCAACAAUAUGCUGACCACGUAAUCACAAGAUUUAGGAAUCUCAUCUAGAUUGUUUGAACGCCAGAAGAAAUAAUUCUUGAUAAGCUCGUAAAAUUAAUUCAAUGAAGAACAAGGAAUCAAAGCAAAAAUUGCUCACAAAAUAACCUCUCAAUUUAAUGUAUGGAUGAAAGAUGUUCUACAAUGAAAAUAAUAACUUCUAUUUAGAAGGAACCCAUAAAACCCCAGUUGAAACGAAAUUAAGGUCUAAACAUACUAAAAGUUACCAUAAAAUAAUCUUAACACAAAUAAAAGAUUUCGUGAAAAUUGAAAAAAUCACACACGAUUUUAAUCUACGCGGCCGCAUAGUUAUAUCCUAUGCGGUCGCAUUGGUCACUUGAAUCCCUAUGCUCCACUCGUUGCUUGGUCACAUGCGACCGCAUGGUUCAUAUAACUAUGCAGUCACGUUUGAUUUAACGCGUCUCUUUUCUCGAGCCCAACACGAAGCUUGUUCCUUUGCUCACCAUGGAUGAAACAACAAGCAAUAUCAUUGCUUCUUUAAUCCUCUUUGCUUGCGACCUAGUUAUAGGACAAAAGUGAUUUUGAAAAAAAAUAAAAUAAAAGUAAAACAAGGGCUAUAUCUUCCAACUUUUUCUCUAAAGUAACCAAUGCAGGAUUGCAAAAGGGAAAGUCAGUAGCUUAAACUCCAAGGAAACAUACUAAAACUUAAUUUUAAAUUUUGAAAGUUUGAUUAUU